rnacentral:lncRNA from 1 species
CUAGCACUGCCUAAAUUUCUUACUCCAUGGCAACGCACGGGCAUUCAGCUAGUAUACACUAGUGUCAAAAACGCUUUUAUAUUACGGGGCAGAGGGAGUAGUCUGUUUGUCUCAACACGUAGUAUGACUUCAGUGCACACGACACAGUAUAUGCCCCCCCUGGAGACCGACAACAGAACAACAGUUCCACAAGCCUGAGCACACUUCAAUUCAGGUGUGAGUGUGACCACUCCCAUUCCUGUCACGUACAAAGAAGAAAACUCCCGUUUCGUACAGAAAUUCCAUGAGAAGCAAAAUGGCGCCACGUCGUAUUAUUUGUAUUUCUUCGUUCUACGAAUCAGCAAAACCAGAUCACGAUUCACGGUUCACAUGGAGCACCUAUCUCACGCAUUUUCGACGCGGUGGCCAGGCUGCCUCUCUUUCUCAUCACUUAUUUCUACCAUGGAGGUGGUGAUCUCACAUCAGGCUGUAACUUUCUUCGACGUUACUGAGUUGCAGAUGGUGGCAAAGUCCGGACCCUGCAACACACCCAAAUAUUUUCCUUAGGAAAUUUGAGAUGAUAAAGCAGAAAUACACGACAAGUGACAACACAUGGCAUUAGUUUUCUUUCUAUAAGUUCGUCUCUUUUGUCUGAAUAAAAAUUGAUGUCAAUUUCUCAUACCUUCAAAGAGGCACCGCCGACAAGGAAGCCAUCGAUAUCUUCCUUCUUUGCUAGCUCAGCACAGUUUGCUGCAUUUACGGAACCUGCAAUGGAAGCAUAGGACGAUGGUCAUAUCACAGGAUCCAUAACUCAUGUUAGCCAUACCCGAAGUAUUGGGGUACUAGCUUGCUAGGAGGCUAUGAGGAUAUUUACGAGUCGCAUUGUCAUACUAAAUUUAUGGUUCAUAAGUUCAUCUUCCAGUCAUCAGUUUAAUAUAUGGAUGUACCAAUAAGACCAAGAAAAGAAACAAACCUCCGUAGAUAAUUCUAACGGUAGAAGCAACAUCAGCUGAUACAUUGGUUUUUAACCAAUCACGGACAGCGGCAUGAACUUCUUGAGCUUGCUCUGGAGAAGCAACCUUUCCAGUUCCAAUAGCCCACACAGGCUCGUACGCAAUCACAACAUUUUUCCAGUCUGUAAUAUUAUCUGAAAGCACACAUUUUGCAGAUAAAUCAAUGCUCUUCAGGCCAAUCACUAAACUACCAAAGAUGACGAAAUUUCACCUGCAAAAGCCUUCAUCUGCUUAAAACAGACAUCGAAAGUUUUCCCAGCUUCCCUCUCUUCCAACAGUUCUCCUAUGCAUGCCAUAACCUUAAGAUUUUGACUCAAGGCAUAUGCAGCCUUCUUCCCAAUAAACUGCAUUGGACAAACUUUUUAGAUCGCAAUCCCAAACUAAAUUACUGCACGACAGCAGCAACUAUACAUCUCAAAGUCAACUUCAGAGAGUAGAGAAAUGGACAAGAAAGACAAGUAGAAAUUCAGCAGCAUCUGCAACUACCUGAUCAUCUUCACCGAUAACAUGUCUGCGCUCAGAGUGACCAAGAAUAACCCAUUGGCAGCCAAUGUCCACCAACUGCUCCGCACUGGAGUUUUCCAAUGAGAAAUAAAACUCAGAAAUGAAGAAAGCCCAGAAGGAACAAAAUAAAUAAAAUAGAAACAACAUUUUGUAACCCUCAUUCACUCAGUACAUUCCAAUAAAGCAAAAGCCUUUUUGGUCAUCAGUGGGCAGAAGAAUUUGCGACCUAUGUACCAGGAAAAGACAAAGUCGACAAGUUUAACUUGCAGUAUCCAACCUGAUCUCUCCAGUGAAAGCUCCUCCUUUUCCAAUCCAUGUGUUUUGAGCAGACACCUCAAUACGGUCAGUUAGUGAACUCUUCACCUGGUCGAUAUAGAUGAAUGGCGGUGCUACGACAACAUCUGCACCAUGUCCACAGCUCCAUGUAUUAAUAUAUUGCUGAGUUAUUGAGACAGGCAGCUAAAUAUCUUAAAAUAAAACAUAAUCAUGUUUACAAGAUGACAUUAGCAUCAGAAGUGAGCAGCUAUAGUAAUCUGAAACUCACUGUUCUUCAUAACAGUAGUCUAAUAAAAGUAGUAGCCGAAUUGGUGCAAGCAAACUACUUGUGUCUUCCACGAUGAAAAUUUACCUUUGGUGGUAAUUUGGGACCCACGGUGUAAAAUUCCCAGAUGAUAAUAAACAAUCAUGCAUAUUGCUACGGUGGAGCAUGUAGUAGAAGCUAAUACGCUAUGCCUUCUUUUGGGCCAACUUGGUAACCAACUAACAACCAGGAAGAAGUGCUUCCAUGACACUGAUGCUCAUACAUGAUGUAUGCGUCAUAUAUGGAAUUUCUUUUUUUGCUGGACAAGGGGAGCAAGACUGGCUGAAGAGUAACUAUCAGUUUUGAACUUCAAAAAUAAUAGGCAAACAGGUUGGGGCUAAUAUGUGGUCUAGACUUCUGGUGAUAGCACUACUAUACAAGAGCAAAUGUACUACUCCCUCCGUUCCUAAAUAUUUGUCUUUCUAGAGUUUUCAACAAGUGACUACAUACGGAGCAAAAUGAGUGAACCUACACUCUAAAAUAUGACUAUAUACAUCUGUAUGUGAUAGUCCAUUUGAAAUCUUUAGAAAGACAAAUAUUUAGGAACGGAGGGAGUAGUAAAUAAUUGACAUAGGUAUAGAACAUAGCUGGUAGAAGGUACUCCCUCCGUUCGGAAUUACUCGUCCAAGAAAUGAACGUAUCUAGAUGUAUUUUAGUUGUAGACACAUCCAUUUUUGUGACAAGUAAUUCCGAACGGAGGGAGUAUAUAAUAUAUUCAGGAAAAUGUCCAUGCUAAAUGGAAACAGGCACUAUUGACAUGAUGUAUACCAAUUAAACAAGCACACGUAUUGCAUAGGUCAAAACGAAAGGAAGCUUAGGAUACGCGUAGAGGAAGCAAAUGAGCUUACCUACAUCGCUUUCGAGUGUGGCAGCAUUCAAAUCAGAGACAAGCUUGCUAAUGGAUACCUUUGUUCCAUUCUAGAGUCAGGGAGAAGAAGAGAAAUCAGAUAUUAAUCCAAAAAAAAAAAUCCAAGAUACCUGACCGCAACAUUUUGCAAUGCAACUUUAUGUAGUCAAGAAAAGCUCCCUAUAAAUGUGAAGCAAAUGCAGACAUAAGCAUAGGAAGGUUCCCCCUAAUCAUGUCCCUAGCUGCUGCAACCGCUUACACUGAUUGAUGGCUGCCCCCUGCUGAAUGCCUAAAUCUAUGGCCUCUCUUAUCUCAUGAUUAAAACAACACAGUGACAUAAUAACUAGCAGCAUUCCUCUGCUUCUUAAGUCUUGCAUCAAAUAAAUGCCCCUCAAAUCUCGACGUCUUUUGGAAUCUGAUGAAGGCUAUCAAGGGGCAACAAAGACGGAGGUUGCAAAACUAGGCGACACGGCACCAAAAGCAACUCUAAUCCCCCCCAAGUAGGAUGUAUGGCACGAUGUCCGCAUGAAUGAAUAAGGACAAACGAAAUCCCCCCAAGGCGACAACCACAAUGCCACCGCGAGGACUAAAACGUCACGCGGUGCGCAAGGGGAAUCUCCACCGCCACCGCCACCGCCACCGCCGUACUCGAGAUUCCCCAUCGGCCUCAAACCCGUGCGCGCAAAGCCGGUGGGGUGCGAAGAGAGCGGGUACUUACGCACUUCCAGUUGCCUCCGACGAAGAACUGCGACACGAAAACAGAGGCAGGAAUCAGGCGCGAGCAAUAACCUUCACCGGGGAAAUAGCCCGGGUAUAAGGGGAGGAAGAGGGCGGGGAUUGGUGUCGCGGCGUUACCUUUCCGGAUCCGGCCAUGGCGACGAGGCGCUGCGCGCGGCGGCGGGAGCAGCCGAGGCGGAGCUGGUGGUUCUGGUGGUGGUGGUGCUGCGGGGCCGGGGCGGCGGCGGCGAGGCGGGAGGAGGCGAGGGACGACGGCGCCGCCAUUCUCUUGUCUCUGAAUCAAAUCUCUCUCUGCGUCGCGCGCUCCUGUGGUCGUGCGGUUGGUGGGCGAGAGGGGGAGGCUCUGACGAUGAUGCGCGCAGCAGCCACCACACCAACCAGAACCAGGAGGAGGGUAGGCGCACGGGAGGCCUGCGGGAAAGGGGGCGAGCGAGAGCGACCCGUGCGGCCACGGUGGCUUUGUAUGGCCGGCCACCUCCGCCCGCGCCUUAUCGGCCCACGGAUAGGGUGCCGAGGGCCGAGGAUUCCCCUACGUUCGCAACGGCUGUACCUACCGGGGCCGGGCCGGGCCGGAUGCUGAGGGCGACAGGCCACCGCGCGCCCUGGCCCCUGGAACCCACGCAACGGAUGAAAGGAACUGCUCUCUGCGUCCGUCCACCUCCGAUGCCUACGUGUCCGGCAAUGUACGAGGUAGAUGGCACAAACUUGGGUGUCAGAGAUUAUGUCAAAAACAAAAAACUUGGGUGUUAGAGAAACGAUGGUUAGGUUUUUUUUUUUUUGCUGAAAGCAUCCCAUCAGGGCCUGUUCAAGUCUUUUGACAUUGGUGCUCGCAUUUUUUGGAUUUAUCUCAAACUUUUUGAUGAUGUUUAUUCGGUGGAAGGAGACGUUUCCGUCGACUACGGAGGCAAAAAACUUGGGUGUCAGAGCUUUUGUGAUGGACCUGAAGUUUGGUUUGAUUUAUGUCUUCCUAGGCUACAUCCAGAUACGUGGUCCUAGGCUACAUCCAAAUACGUGGUCAUGACAUAUACUUUCUGAUAAUCGUUUCACGGACGGGCUAAGAUUAUAUCAGCCAUGUGGCCUAUAUGGUACUCGAGAAAUAAAUGGACUCACUAGGAAGAACACACAAGCACUUGUACAAAAAUUAUGUGGGUUGUGGCUGAAGACCUCCGGAGUAAGGAUGAGUCAAUAUCAACUAUGAUCACCCGCAAAAAAAAUAUAUCAACUAUGAUGCUACAAUCAGUUCGGAAAUUAGUAAGGAGGUGUUGCCCCUUCACCAUCAUCCUUGCUCGAUGUAUGGUGCAAACCCAAUGAAGAUGUGAUAGAUCCAAUGGUUGUUGAGACAAUGCCUUUACGAGUUUUCAUACAUGUGAUCUUGAGGAUAGCUAAUCUCAUGCCCAAAUUUGGGCUAAGUUUGCACUGAUGGUUACUAAGAGUUGGCUGGACUUUGAACCUCAUUUCCUGAUCAGCAGCCAGAUGACUGACUGUCCCACGAGUACCUUUGUUGAAUAAAGCUCUCAAAAUUUGGCACAAAAAAAGGUGUAUAUAUAUAUGGAGAAAAUUUACUGACUGGGGUGAAGUGGUAGGGUAAGAUUUAGGGGAAUCCACCAUCAAUGGGAGAGGACACUUACCCUAUACACUCGAGGGGCUAAUAGGGUCUACUUAGGACCCUCUGCUAUGGUGCUUCAGGAACCUGACAAUUCAGAAACGUUAGAGAUGCUAGCAUAUUAUGAGGCACCAUCUUUGGAUAGCGAUCUACAUCUAACAAUAAUGAGGAGAAACAAUGAUGCCUAUCUGUCAUAACCAGCAUGAAAGAUGAAACUUGGGGUUAGUAUGCUCAAGUUAUCCAGGAAAUUCAUGCUCGGACACAUGAGUUUGUCUCCGCACAAUUUUGUCACGAGAAGAAAGAAAGCGACGAGCAAGCCCAUGACAAGGGAGGCGGUGAAUCCCACUUAUGUCGCGGCAUCCAUGCCCGCAUCGAAUGGAGGCCAUGGAUCCUCCCGCCAGAAGGGGGGAGGGGCAAUGUCAGGGUGCACUGGUGCGAGGCAUGGGCAGAAGAAGGGAGCAUGGGAGUUUUUUUUAAACAGAUGCAUGAGAGUACAAUAUCAUCCAUAGGCUUAUUAUUGGAAUUUAUUAUUGGAAUUGUGUUAGAUAGAUGCUUAGCGCUAAACUUUUUUUUGAAAGAAACAUCAACUUUAUUUAUUAAAAAUAACGGUUACAUCGUCAAUAAGCAAAGGUACAAUAUCAUCCAUAGGCUUCUCAAACCAAUCCCCUUGUCACGGAAAAUUUUGCCAGCCUAGCAAGUUUUCAUUUGCUUCCCUAUUACACUGUUCAAACUUAGUAAGAGAAAAAUCACAUGCCAUAUAAUAACAAUCAUUGAAUAUGGGGGCAUAGAGGAUUGGAUGGAGGCACAACGGUUAAAAUUGGAUGCCGUCAUUUCAAAAGGCAAUGAAUAAAGCCAUUGAAUUAAUAACUAAACAAACGGAUAUAAGGGAAGUAAAAGUAAAAAUUGCGGGUUAAAGGAAAAUAAAUUGCUUCACGCUAAAAUUGAUUAUUGCUGCUAUCCAAUUCGAACUAUCUAUGGUGUAUCAAGUGUAAAAAUUGGAUAUUCGUAGAAGAGAAAAAAAAUCUACAAACGUGCACAAAAAGGAAUUGAUAGCGCACUUGCACCAUCUUGUCACGUACUCUACUUACAAAAAAGAACUGAAAUGCACCAAAAUCAUAUAAUCCUCAAAAAUAUUACUGCUACUAUACGUUCUUGCGUCUUGCAUUAUCCUCACCGAAUUAAUAUAUUACAACUAGAAAAGAAGAUUUAGUUCUUAAGUCUCUCCCAAAAGUCCUUCAAGUAGCCCUGGACGGGAGAUUCUGAUUGCAUCUGGAGUACGAGGACAUCAUAGCGGAGGCGGAGGCGGUCGUCGUCGACGUGGUCCUCCGCCCACUUCAGGAGCUCCUCCCGUUUGACGAAGUCGUGCACGUCGACGCUCCACGACGACCGGUCAGGGUAGAUCAUCCCGUGAAAGUCGCGCGGCUCGAUGAGGCGGCUGAACGCCGCCACCCCCGCGCGGUCGAGGAUGCUCACCUGGCACAUGGCGGUGGAGUUCUUGCCGGAGUUGUUGGUCCCGGCGAGGUGGAGGCCAGCGCCCACGCAGAGGCCGCGGGCGUGGGGGUGGUAGGCGGCCUGCCAGUCGAUGCCGCCGACGCGGAACUUGCGGGACUUGAUGGAGGAGCCGUCGACCAUCCUGUGCACGAGCUUGUAGCCGUCGAUCUGGAAGAGGUGCGUCCCGGUCACCGGCCGCGCGCGGACGGAGGAGGAGGAGAAGGAGUGGACGGCGCGCUGGUAGGCGCCGCGCAGGGCCGGGAGAAUCAGCUCGGUGGCGGCGGCUCCUGUCAUGGCGAUCGAUGGUGGAUACGAUGUGCGUAUGGGACGUGUAUACCGUUCUUGUGUGUAUUAUAUGGAUGGGCUUUGGUGAGAUCGUCAGUGUUUCUCAAGAUUUCCUUGUGAUAUUCUCGUCAACAUCCUAGGAAAGAAACCCUUUCCUACGAUUUUUCACACCGAAAAACCUAAACUUACGCUCGGGGUGGUUAGGAUUUUAUACGGACCCCUUUCCCUCCCUUCCUCCCUUCCCCCCUAAUGUCCAACCAUAAUUUUAUAUGUUCCGUAUAGUAACUCGUAAGAGUUUGGGUGUGUUUGGAUUGUGGCCAAAGUGCAUUUUACCAAAAUUUUGGUCAUGACUCAAAGAUUGGUUUUUGUUUGAAUGGUUGCCAAUUUUUUGGCAUGCCAAUGAACUUUAGCCAACUCUAGUUCAUUUUUCUUGCCAAUGUUGACCAAAUUAUGGGCAACCAAAACCUCAACCAAAAUUUUGUCUAGCCAAUGCUUUGGUGGGGCAACCUUGGGCACAAACCAAACACACCCUUUGUUCCAUGCAAAAAAAAAACUCAAGAUAUUCUGACUGUAUAUAGUUAGCACCUCUCUUCUGUCACGAUACCAAGAGUUUUGCUACACUUACGGGUUUUUUUAUUUUUUUCUGAGAUACUUCCAAUCUAUUCAUUUUUAAUCACGGCAGUACAACGAACACCAGAAAUAAAAAUUACAUCCAAAUCCAUAGACCACCUAGCGACUAGGUUUACAGUACUACGUGGGUGGAUUAGAGAAAAUUUAGUGGCUUGUUAGAGGUUUUGAAAAUGGCACCUUGGAUUUAUUUAGGCUCAAUUUUGCUCUAAUUAUUCUCAUCCCUAAGGAAAAUGAUGCCAAAGAUAUGGAAAAGUUUAGCAAUUGUGCUGUGAAGACUUUGACCGAAGCCAUGACUAAUAUGUUUUCUCCCAUUAGCAUAGACUUACCUCUCCUAAUCAAUCUGUCUUUAUUAGGGAUAGAUGUAUCCUGAAGAGUGUUGUCAUGGCCCAUGAGGUUAGACAUGCGAUUCAUAAUAGGACUAGUUCUGAGGAGCUUAUUUUAAAACUCGAUUAUAAGAAAGCCUAUGACAGAGUGAGAUGGGAUUUCCUUUUGGGAAAUGCUUUCUUGUAGAAGUUUUGGUGAGAAGUUGAUUGGUUUGAUAUUGAUGACCCGUAUUUUACUGGGGGCAGAGGUCUCAAACAGGGUAACCCCCUUUCUCAUAUCCCGUUUAACCUUGUGUGUGCCUGAUUUCUUUUCUAAAACGUUGUACAAAGCUACCAGCCAUGGUUUAGUUUCUGGGCUUUUACCCAAUUUCAUUCCUGGUGGUGCGUAGUUUGCAGUAUGCUCAUGACACUUCGCUAUUUAUUGAUAAUUCCAUUGACAAGGCUAGAAAUUUUUAAUGGAUCUUGUCCAGAUUUGGAAGUUUAUCUAGUAUGAAAAAUACCUUUCAUAAGAGUGCCUUUUGACUAUCCAUCCUAGUGAGGUGCCCAAAAUCUUUUGUUGUAAAAUUGGUUCAUUUUCCCUCGAGUAUUUGGGAGUGCCUUUGCACUUUGAUAAACUUAGGAGAGAUGACUUACAACCUAUCAUUUAUAGGAUCAUUAAAAUUAUUUCAGGUUGGAUGGGUAAGACUUUGUCUUUCAGGGGUAACUUAUUUUAUUAUGUUCCUAUAUUACUAGCAAUCUCGCUUAUCUAAUGUCUAUGAUUAAAUCUCUCAAAUGGGUAAUUAAUGUCAUUAACUUUCAAAUGGCACACUUCUUCUGGGGAAUAUGGGUGAUUCUCACAAGUACCAUUUGGCCUGUGGGGUUUUGGUUUCUAGGAAGAAGAAAUUUGGUGGUCUAGGUGUCUCUAAUCUAGGUAUUUUAACAUGGCUUUACUUGCCUCUUGGGUAAGAGAUAUUUUGAGAGUGGGGAUAAAGAUUGGGAAAGGAUUUUGGAUUUUAAAUAUAAUACUCUACCUUUUGUUGUCUAAACCUUGGCAAUGGUUCUCCUCUUUGGAAGAGUGUUACUUGGGUUGUCAAUGCUUCUAAGACCUUUUAGAGCAUCUCCGGCCGUUGGCCCCCCAGGCGGCUCGUAAAAUCGCCGCCUGGGGACGAACCGGCGCUAAAAUCGGGCUGGGGGCUUUCGGGUUCCCAGCCGCCGGCCCCAGGGUCGCCCCCAGAAGGCGUGUUUAAUACUUUUUGAAAAGGAAUUCGGCUAAAAUCCGGCAAACGGGACAAAGUUUCGGCUAAAAUUCGGCGAACAUGACAUUACUUAGGCCACUUAAAUAGUUUUUUACAUAGGAAACUAAAAAUACUAAAAAAACAAAGGCCGCAACUACGGGGCGAAGAACGCGUUGAGCGCGGCGAAGUGGACGACGACGCCUCCCUCGUCGCGGCCCCGAUGCCGAGCGGCGAACUGCUCAUAGGCGCGGCACUGGCGCUCCAGCUCCGUCCGCGCGCAGUCUUCGUGCGCCCACUUCAAGGCCGCCUCGUCGGAGAGCCUCUGCUCCGUCUUCACGACGGCGAGCCCUGGCUCUGUCUUCACGGAGGCGAGCCCGGGCUCCAUCUUCACGGCGGCCUGCUCCGUCUUCGGCUUGACGAAGCGGGGAGGAGCCGAGGAGGAGGCGCGCCCGCCCUCGUUGAUGACGAUGCCGGCGCUGCGGGUGCGCCGGCCGAGCGGCGUCUCCGCGGGCUCGGCCUUGACGUUGAACAGCCCCGGCGACCCGGAGGAGUGUGAGGAGGAGCGGGAGGAGGAGGAAGAAGAGGACGCCGUCCUCCUCGGCAUCCAUUGGCCGCCGCUCCGGACCGGGGCGGCAGAGUACUUGAACGGCGGGUCGUUGCCGCCCUCGAGGUGCCGGAGAACGGCGUGGAGCGUGCGGCAGGUGGCGCCCCACAACAGGCGGCGCCCCUCUCUGUUCUUGGUGCCCCACACCACCGGCGCCCCAUUGGUGGAGGCGAGCCGCUGCGCCUGCCGGUGCUGGAAGUACGCCGCCCACGCCUCGUGGUUGCCGGCGGCGUACUGCGAGAAGGCCCGCUGCUCCUCCGCCAGCGACGCCUGCACGCGGUCAACCUUGUCGGCGAAGUAGUCGGGGCGCAUGUCGACGUCGGGCAGUGGGGGGAUGGCGACGCCACCGGCGCUGAGCUUUAACCGCCCCGGCGUGCGCAUGUCGGGAGGCGCCGGGAUGUUCGCCUGGAACAGCAAGUGGGCUUCCCACUCGUGCAACGUGCGGCGGCCGAAGCCAUUGGCCGCCGCGCCAUCUCCGGGGAAACGCUUAUACUUUGUCCUAGGUUUGGGAUGGGGUCAAUAUGAAGCUUACUUUGGGUAGGUGUGCGAAUCAAGUGGGCAUGUCCUUACUGUGUCAAUUGGUUGAUUUUGUUAGUUAUGUUCCCUUGUAUGAGGGUAAUGAUGCUCCUAUUUCGAUGGUAUCUUUUUCUAGGUAAUACACCGUCAAAUUGUUUGAGAUCAUUAAUUUUGGUGGAGUAAAAUGCACCCGCGGUCAUUGAACUUGUGUAAAAAGCUCAUUUUGGUCACUGUACUUAAGAAUACGGUCAAUACGGUCACUAUAUACGACUUGAGGUGAUUAUACGGUCACUGGGUCACCGUAUAGCUUCGUAUUUUACUCUGUUGACUGGUCAAACAUCACAGCACCCUUUCUCUAUCUAUGUGGGCCCCAACUGUCAUUGAAAAAAUGCCAUGCGUGGUAGGAGAACCAGCGAUCAUCUGCUGAAGCCCACGUGCUAACAACUGUGCCCACACAACUUCGUUUUAAUUUGUCAAUAAAAGAACACAACUUCUUGUUAAACAUAUAUACUCAGAGAACACGCAUACUACACACUUAAACGCAUAUUUAAUUAACACACACACAACACACUUAAACGCAUGCACGCAACACUUUCGCAAGUCGUUGGGCUACUUAGACAACACGAGGUCGAGGUGCGACGUUGUAUUGUCUCAGUUCUUCGUCGGUGUCGCCAUCCUUCUGGGGUGGUGCACGUCCUCGGCGCCGUCACCAUCAUGGGUUUCGUUUACGUGUCGCCGGUGGCAUGGCGAAGCUGCGGGGCAAGGUCUAGAUGUGUGAACCUUUGCCGUGCUCAUCAUGGUGUCCAUGUUGUCGAGCUAAGGCAUGUGCAGCUGCACGUGCAUGCCGGUGAAAGGGAACAUGGCCAUGUUUAAGCGAGCACACCGGUCUCAGCUGCUUGUGUCGAGAUGCUGGUCGAGAAUGUAAGACGAGAUAGCACGAGAGAGACUGCAACUGCAACUAUUUUCAACUAUAUUCAUUCACCAUGCUCAACUAUAUUCACCAUCGUCGCACGAGAGAAUGUACGGGGAUGAUGAGCACGUAGAGUGCGGCCACUACGCUAACAACCUCCGUAUCUAACUCAUCUAGAUAAGAUCAUGCAAUCAUGUACAUGAGACUAGAUCUAGUGAUUGCAGUUUCUCUAAAAAAGGUCUAGUGGUUACAGGGAGAAAGCUACGUGAAUGAAUCUUACGCUGGUGCAGCUGGUCUUCUAGGGGUAUACCAACAGAGAACACACUAUUCCUCGCUGUUGGCUGCGUGCAUAGCCUACGCGUGGAGCUCAAGAAGUGAAGAAGAUGAUGACAGGGGGCAGGGAGCUAAGAGGAUACUAGUACCUGCUUCCAGCGUGGAGCUGCUGUUGGCUCAGUCCGUAUUGCCCAGUACUUUUCGACGACACAUGACGAACGGCGACGAACGACACUGACAAUCGCGGUGAAGUUCUUUUUUACACCGAGAGACACCAUAGUAUGCAAAGCUAGCUUGUACUAGCUAGUCUGCUCCCGAUCGAUCGUUUCACAAGCAAUACCAAAAACACACACGUGGCGAGCCGCCGGAAAACAAACACACGCACGCGAUAUUUGGAUAGCCACAUGAACGUGUCGUUCCUGUUUAUCUUUAUCUGCUUCACGUCUCGAUGCAAGUUUUUAGAAGGGGAUAUACUACAAGCUAAGCCAACUAGUACGUCUCCUACACGAUGAUGAUUUAGAAACCUAUACGGACACGGUAACUACUCGUGUACUGAACCGGACAAGAUGUCCACAUCGUGUUUAACUCUGACGGCUGCGCAAUGCAUGCGGCUAUGCUGGCCGGGCUCGUCGGGAUGCAGGUGGCGAUGGCGUGCGGUAUGGAGUGGAGCGGCACGCCCUGGGAAUGCGUCCGCGUGGGAGAAGAUGGUGAACGUCCUAUAUACGUACAGUAGGUAGUAUGCAGAGGGAGCUACGACACUAACAAAACUAAUCGCUCAAAUUGUGCGCACAAAGAUCCUGCGGUUAACUGGCUAGCAGGCAUAGUGAUUUAUUUCUUUUUUUUGCUGAAAGGUGGGACCCAUGCAAAAGGGUUCCGUGGCGUUUGACCGGUCAUAGUGAAAUACGAAGCAAUACGGUGAGGCAGUGACCGUAGAAUCAUCUCAAGUCAUAUAUGGUGACCGUAUUCUUAAGUACAGUGACCAAAAUGAGCUUGUGGUACAAGUUCAGUGACCGCGAAUGCAUUUCACUCAUUUUGGUGGCUUAAUUUCAACUUUGAGUGAUUGGUUUCGGAAAAUCCUAUGUCCGAAGUGAAUUCAUGUGUUCCUUUGGCUAUUGAUUAAUAACACGAUACUAACCAAAGAUAAUAAUAUAUCAAAAUAAAUACAUGUACAUGAUCCCACCUAUUAGUUUUGUACUGAAGUGAAAAUUAUCCAACAUAUUUUCUUUAACUGUUUAGUGGCAAAAAAAUAUGGACUUUUAUAUAUAAUUUCUUUGGAGUUGAUGAUCCUCGCUACAUUUUUGAGCUUGUCUCUUUCUGGCGCCAGCAUAAAACAAGAGCUAUUAUAAGCAUGGUGUGCAUAUACUACAUAAGAGCUUAAGUCCAUCGGGAGAAGCGCUUCGGAUCUUGUGCAGGAGGCUUUUUUCGCCUGGGGAACUAAUCGGACUAUUGCAAGCUGAUUCAUUUUCAGUAGUUUCCCUGAUCAAACUAGAGGUUACCAAGGAACAACAAUCUAUUAGAUCGCAUCCUUAGACACCAUGAUGCCUUUCAACCCACUUUAGUAGAGGGGUGUACUAUUUCGAGUGAGCUGGUAAUGGAAUUUUUCUUUGAUAAAUAGGAAACUUAAGAUAAGAUGCUCAGAAUGGAAAUGAGAGAGAUAUGGAUUUUCUGUUUAGCUCAAAUUGUGGAUUGUGAAUCGCCCAUAUGCAGGUUCAAUUCCCGUCGUUCGCCCAUCGGUGUUGUACACAUAUUUGUCAAUGUCAAUCAAGUAAGAAAAUGCAUUCCCACUGUCUGAGGAAAAGGUAUGGAUUCUCUUUCGGGUAGACCCUGAAUGGAGAAGAAAGGUUGCUUCCUUAUAUGCUACUUUUAUACCGUUAUUACAUCAUUUUGACACAUUUUUAUACAAUUUUGUCUGACUAACCUACAAUUCUAGUGCUCAGUGCCGGUUGAUGUUUUCUCCUUUUUUUUACUUUGGGUAAAAACUAUUUUUAGGGAGCAAAAAAAAUAAUAUAAAAAUACGUCGCGUAGAUGAAGACUAGAGGGACACCAUGAGCCAGAGGGCCACCAGAAGGGAGACCCUAGGCUCCCAUGCGACCUAGGGCUGGGUCAUGUCGUGCGGUUGCGUUCCCCUAGGGACCCCCUCCGCCGCCUUUCGGUUUUCGUGUCCUUAUAUACCUGUAAAAAUCCUAAAAAUAAUUAUCGAGGAUCAUUUCUGCCACCACCACCACCACACGUUCUGAAACAAUCCAAUUCCGAGGCCUUUUUUGACCUUGCUGCUUUGAUGAUCACAUGUGAGUAGUGCUCCUUGUACUAUGGGUCCAUAAUAGUAGUUAUGUGGCCAGAGAGGAUUUGUGGGACGCAGGGGAGGAGGCUCUGACUCCAUUUUUCUUUUGGCUUUCGAUUUUCAAAUUUUGGAAUUGAAAGUCCAAAUUAUUAUUCAUUUUCAUAUUCAUAUUUCUUGUGACGAAGGCCUUUCAAAUAAGACCAUUUUGAAUAUCUUUUGAUGAUUUUUAAAAACUCUGUUAAGUUUCAAAUGUUGAAACUUGAUACAAAAAUUGACAAAAAUAGCAGGUUUCAAAAAACCAAACUUAAAAUGUGGUGUGCCCUCAUGCGGAACUGAAUGGCUUUGUGGAUCAUGAGGCAAUCAUGCGGUCAGGCAAGGCUGCUGCGGGGCGUGGGCCCGCACAUGCAUGCCCCCGCGAAUUUCCUGCUAUGUGGCUUGCUCUCUCCCUUGUUCUUCAAUAAAAAUAUCACAUGAGCUAUCCUAUGUGAUUUGUAAUCCAUCUGGUGUAAUUUUCAAUGUGUUUCUUGCGGUGCAACGAAUCGCCAUUUUAUGACCAGAUUAUGUAUGGAUUUGUAUAUUUUUUGGGUCCCUUGCUACAUGAUUAUAAACAGAUAUACUCUUGGAUCUACCAUUCUCAAUGAUUAGAUAAACAAUCUCCAAGAGGGUGUAGCAUGAUAGAGAUGAACCCUGAACACAAAGUUUAGGGAGUGAUUGUUGCAAUAAACUUCGCUGAUUCAGGUUCAUGCCACGCCAGGGGUUUUCCAUUUACAUGGCAAGAGUUUAUGUUUCAAUAAUUGUGACAUGGCAAAGGUUUGCACGUUGACUACCUGUCACAUAGCACCGUAGAACGUCGGGACAUGAACACAUCAGCUGCGACGGAGGCGGUAGCUUAGAGUCAGUUCUUUUGGGGCUUACAGGUAGCUGCNNNNNNNNNNNNNNNNNNNNNNNNNNNNNNNNNNNNNNNNNNNNNNNNNNNNNNNNNNNNNNNNNNNNNNNNNNNNNNNNNNNNNNNNNNNNNNNNNNNNNNNNNNNNNNNNNNNNNNNNNNNNNNNNNNNNNNNNNNNNNNNNNNNNNNNNNNNNNNNNNNNNNNNNNNNNNNNNNNNNNNNNNNNNNNNNNNNNNNNNNNNNNNNNNNNNNNNNNNNNNNNNNNNNNNNNNNNNNNNNNNNNNNNNNNNNNNNNNNNNNNNNNNNNNNNNNNNNNNNNNNNNNNNNNNNNNNNNNNNNNNNNNNNNNNNNNNNNNNNNNNNNNNNNNNNNNNNNNNNNNNNNNNNNNNAAAUUAUUUUGGCUGCCACGCAUAAGCCUAAGAAAAAUUGGCCAUGUCUCGCAUGCACGAUUCGGCUUGUCAUGGAAAGGGGUUGCGCCCGGUUCAAAAAAAAUCACAUGACAAGGAUUCCACGUGCGAUUAGUUCCGGUCGUUAUGACCAUGAUCUCUGUAGCUCACUGAAUAAAAGGAAAAGAAAGAUGAAGAAAAGUCGUGUUAUUGUAUGCAUCGUAAAAAAAACUUCUGCCUGUUGUCCCCAAAUCCAAAAUCUCUCUCGCCUAUUCCAAUUCGGUGAUCGCUGGAGGUGUGCACUCGGCAGAGGCCUUCCGAGUGUGGCUGUUGUUUUUGAUGAUUAUAAGAACAUAAUUUCUGAUUAAUAUAUUGGGUUUUGUUGACACGGAUGUUUUAGCGACAAGUAAUAUGGAUCAGAGGGAGUAGAAAUAAUCAGAACAGCAAAACUCACAUCCUGUCCUUUUUUUUUCCAAGAGAGGAGGGAUAUAUCUAGACCAUAAGCCUUUCACGUAGCCCUGGACGAAAACAUGAAAGACAAAAGCGAAAGGAAAUAUUAUACUGUAUACGUACUACUUAAAAAGAUUUACUUAUAUGUCCCUCCCAUAAGCCUUUCAAGUCAACCUUUCAAGACAUGAGAUUCGGGGUACGGUGCAUCCGGAGGACGAGGACGUCGCAGCGGAGGGACAGGCGGUCGUCGUCGACGUGGUUCUCCACCCACUUCAGGAGCUCCUCCCUGCUAACGAAGUCGUGCGCGUCGGCGCUCCACCACAACCGGUAAUGGUGGAUCUGAUCGCGCGGCUCGAUGAGGCGGCUGAAAGCCGGCACCCCCGCGCGGUCGAGGACGCUCAGCUGGCACAUGGCUGACAGGUCCUUGCCGGUCUGGUUUUGGGCGGCGAGGUGGAGGCCAGCGCCGACGAAGCGGCCGUGGCCGUGGGCGUUGGGGCUGUAGGCGACCCGCCACUCGAGGCCGCCGACGCGGAACUUGCGGGACAUGAUGGGGCCGUCGACCAUCCUGUGGGCGAGCUUGUAGCCGUCGAUCUGGAAGAGGUGGGACCCGAUCGCCGGCCGAGCGCGGACGCCGGAGGAGGAGAAGGAGUGCGCUGCCCGCUGGUAGGCGCCGCGCAGGGCCGGAAGCAUCCGCUCGGUGGCGGCGGCGCCGGUCAUGGCGAUCGACGGUGGAUACGAAUAUGUUAGGAGUAUUGCUUAGCUAGGUACGUGCGUACGUGCUAAAGGGCUACUGUUCGCGUGUGUAUUAUGGAUGCAUGGUCUCCGGUGAGAUCGGUGUUUUUCAUGGGUUCCUUCAUUCCUUGUAAUGUUCCUGUAAAUAUUGGUCCAAAAGGAAAUGUAAAAUUAUCCGGUGGAAUAUUUUCCUUUUUGAGGUGAACAAAGGAAAUAACGCCAGUAGGGCUGCAAGAAAAGCUCGAGGCUCGUGAGCCGCUCGAGAUCGACUCGUAUUUUAGCUUGACUCGAGAUCGACUCAAAAAAAAAAUGCGCUGAGUAUGAACACUUUAUGUAGCUCGAUCGAGAAACGAGCCAAUCUUGAUCCAGCAUUGGCUCGCUCGAUUUUAGCUCGAUAGCUCGAUAUCAUAUAAGUAUAUUAAAUAACCUUCAUACCAAUCUCCAAGAAUUAGGAUCAUUCAUUUCCAUAUAUGUUCUAUACGAUUUUUUUCUUCACUUUACGUACUAGCAAACAUGGAAAUUAAGAAUGGAGAAAAUUUAUUCUCAUCACGUGGCCAACCGUGUGUUCAAUAUCUUGUUAUUUUGGCCAAAGCUUGAGAGCUAGAGCACCUUCGUCGCCUUCUAUCCAUGAUCUCUUGUUAUUAAAUACUAAUCUUCACUUGAGAAAGAAUAAGUCGAAUUUAUAGUAAUUUUUAUGUUCUGUUGUGGCCUAUCUAGCUCUAAAAUUUGCCUUAAAAUGAUUUCAAAAAUCAUCUUAUGUAGCUCGAAACUAGCUCGAGAUCAACUCGAGAUCGUUACAAGCUGAGCAUGAGCCACUUUCUACAGCUCGACCUUGAGCUUCGCACAUUUUGAGCUCGCUCAAAUUUUAGUAUGAGUUGAGUUGAGCCUAGGCCAACUCGCUCAAACUCGACUCGUUUGCAGCCCUAAACGCCAGUAGUUCUUUAGGAAAGAAAUCAUUUCCAAAAAUUUUGACACAAAACCACGGGAUAACAUCCAAUGUGAGCUCAUUUUUCGCUUACAUACAUCCUAUGUUCCUAAAUAUAAGAUGUUUUGGCAGUUCAAAUUAUUUUCUUUUCCUAAAUAAUUUGAACUGCCAAAACAUCUUAUAUUUAGAGAGGUACGUAGUAUAUACCAAAGAUAAUUGGUCGUGGGCCCUUUAUGUUAGACAAUAUAACAGGUGGAAAUUCAACUCCCAAAGAUUGAUGAUGGGCACAAUUGGCCUGUUGCUGUAAACACCUCAAUGAUAAUGUUUAACUAUCAUACAUUGGAUGUUUUUAUUUUCAAUGGUGAUAUCUAUGUCAUGAUGCUCAGGGCUUAUGUCUGAAUCUAAGUGUAAAUUUCUAUUGAUGAACUCGGAAUGAAUGAAAUCAAAAUGUUCUGCUUCUCUGAUGUUGUUUCUUGUAAAUCUUGCCUUCCGUUGCUCUCUGCUAAUAUCAUUUACCUUCUCUUUUCCUUUGAGAACUGAUAAUUACUUAUGUGUUUUUUAGGUGAGGUAAUUACUAAUGUAAAUUACGUGCACAGAAGAUAACUACAUGCUUACAUAUCAUAUACAGAAAUAGAUACUCAGUGGGUACCAGUAUAAUUAUGGAAGAACCAAUCUGGAAGAUGAUUUUGUUCGCGGUACACAAGCUGGAAGUUGUAGACCACACAUGAGUUUGUUAGGAUAAACAUAUGCAUAUUCAGUCAUUCAGAAAAGACUAAGGCUUCUAAUAUUAUUAUUUUUGCAAUGUUGAAACAAUACAAAGGCUACUACCUCCUGCCUAAUGCAGAAUAUUUCCCCAAGUUAUUUUACCUUCCUCGUAGUCGUGUACUAGUGUUCACUAUUACCUCCAUUACAUUAUGACAGUUCAAUUAGUAUUCUGCCACACUUUUACAAUUGAUGCGAUACUAAAAGAGUAAUUUGAACCACUGACAUAUUUCUUACUUAAAAGGAAAAUAGGCACACCUUAUUACUAACAAAAAUUCAACGUCAGAGAAGAUCUUAUGUUGCUGGAACACAGGAUCAAAGCUAAGCAUUUGAACAUUUUGAAAGGAUGGAUUUGGUGCUCAUCUGUGAUGCUAGAAUGUUAAGUUUUUAGCUUAGUACUUGAUCUCAUGAUAGUGUUUCGAAGAGCAGGAAUUGGUUGACUGUUUGUUUUUCUAGCUUUUGUUUUAAAUAUUGUACUGUGCUAUAUUUUGAUUGUUAAUGAGAUAACACCGUAGAAUUGUUCUACGGUUUGCAGUUAAAAAAAUGCAGCACCUCUCAGUAUUCAUCUUACCAUGAGGUCAUGGCACUAUACAGGUACAUGUGAAAUCACAUACUAAUUCCUUCUCAUAUUAAUUAACGCUCAAACGGAUGGAGGACAUGUGGUUUGAAGUUUUUUUUACGACACUACGCAAAAUGCGCACCAUUUUUUUCUUAUACUACAUAGAGCAAAUAUAGUUUACAGGAAAUCCCGCCAAGAUCAAGGGAUAGACAACACUCCUAGCUCCUAGUUUCUAUCGAAGGCAACUACUCAGGUAAUGGAAUUCUCCCAGCUCCCCCAGUCAAGCUCCAAAGAUGCAGAUCACACUUAAUAGCAGCACAAAGGUUGAACUCAAAUAGUACCGGUCAGUGUUGCCGAAGACAAUGGCGUUGCGCUGUUUCCAAAGCGACCAAAAGAUGAGCAUGACUAGAGAGUCGAAGCUCGAUCUUUGAUUCUUUGGGAUCCACAUCCUCGAUGUGCCCACCAUUCCUCCAGCGUGUCACCACUACCUGGUAUGGCAUGUCAUUCUCAAUCCUACAUGCACUAGUACAAAACAGGGCUUUCGUCACAGGGCAAUAUUCACAUUAGUCCCGGUUCAGUCACGAACCGGGACUAAUGUGAGCAUUGGUCCCGGUUCGUGCGGCUAAGACAUUAGUCCCGGUUCACCUGGGCCCUUUAGUCCCGGUUGGUGCCACGAACCGGGACUAAAGGGUGCGAUGCCCAUUAGUACCGGUUGGUGGCACCAACCGGUACUAAAGGUUAGACCUUUAGUCCCGGUUGGUGCCACCAACCGGUACUAAUGGGCUNNNNNNNNNNNNNNNNNNNNNNNNNNNNNNNNNNNNNNNNNNNNNNNNNNNNNNNNNNNNNNNNNNNNNNNNNNNNNNNNNNNNNNNNNNNNNNNNNNNNNNNNNNNNNNNNNNNNNNNNNNNNNNNNNNNNNNNNNNNNNNNNNNNNNNNNNNNNNNNNNNNNNNNNNNNNNNNNNNNNNNNNNNNNNNNNNNNNNNNNNNNNNNNNNNNNNNNNNNNNNNNNNNNNNNNNNNNNNNNNNNNNNNNNNNNNNNNNNNNNNNNNNNNNNNNNNNNNNNNNNNNNNNNNNNNNNNNNNNNNNNNNNNNNNNNNNNNNNNNNNNNNNNNNNNNNNNNNNNNNNNNNNNNNNNNNNNNNNNNNNNNNNNNNNNNNNCCCCCCCGUGGACCGCCUUUUCAGUUUUAGAAAAAACAAAAGAAAAUGAUGGAAAUUUCAAAAAAAAUAAAAUAAGUUUCCCAUGUGAUAUGUGGUCUAGUUGUUGGGAAAAUUAACAAAUAUGAAUUUCGACUUUAUUUCAAGACAGGAAUUUCAAAUGAACUACGAAAAGGUUGAAAGUUGGCAUGGUAUCAUCAUAAUAGUUGUGGAGAGAAAGUCUUCACUUUGUCUUGGCUUGUGUCCUUUGCUUAUUGCGCCGUAACCAUGGAUAAUCUUCAUUGUUUAUCAGGAUGCUUAGGUCAGCCUUGACUUUGAAGGGAGGAAUUUCAUGAAACUUUUCAUAAUCUUCAGACAUGUCUGUCUUGCCCUCCACUCCCACGAUGUCCCUUUUUCCCGAAAGAACUAUGUGGCGCUUUGGCUCAUCGUAUGAUUUAUUUGCUUCCUUAUCUUUUCUUUUUCUCAGUUUGGUAGACAUGCCCUUCACAUAGAUAACCUGCGCCACAUCAUUGGCUAGGACGAACGGUUCGUCAGUGUACCCAAGAUUGUUCAGAUCCACUGCUAUCAUUCCGUACUGUGGGUCUACCUGUACCCCACCUCCUGACAGAUUGACCCAUUUGCACUUAAACAAAGGGACCUUAAAAUCAUGUCCGUAGUCAAGUUCCCAUAUGUCCACUAUGUAACCAUAAUAUGUGUCCUUUCCCCUCUUGGUUGCUGCAUCAAAGCGGACACCGCUGUUUUGGUUGGUGCUCUUUUGAUAUUGGGCGAUCGUGUAAAAUGUAUUCCCAUUUAUCUCGUAUCCUUUGUAAGUCAAUGCAGUCGAAGAUGGCCCCUUGGACAACGAGUACAACUCAUCACAAACAGUGUUGUCACCUCUGAGACGUGUUUCCAACCAACUGCUGAAAGUCCUGAUAUGUUCACAUGUAAUCCAUGUUGGGGAACGUAGCAGAAAUUCAAAAUUUUCUACGCAUCACCAAGAUCAAUCUAUGGAGUAAUCUAGCAACGAGGGGAAGGGGAGUGCAUCUACAUACCCUUGUAGAUCGCGAGCGGAAGCGUUCAAGAGAACGGGGUUGAUGGAGUCGUACUCGUCGUGAUCCAAAUCACCGAUGAUCCUAGCGCCGAACGGACGGCACCUCCGCGUUCAACACACGUACGGAGCAGCGACGUCUCCUCCUUCUUGAUCCAGCAAGGGGGGAGGAGAGGUUGAUGGAGAUCCAGAAGCACGACGGCGUGGUGGUGGAAGUAGCGGGAUCCCGGCAGGGCUUCGCCAAGCGCAAGCGGGGAGGAAGAGGUGUCACGGGAGGGAGAGGGAGGCGCCAGGGCUUAGGUAUUGCUGCCCUCCCUUCCCGCCACUAUAUAUAGUGGCCAAGGGAGAGGGGGGGGGGGCGCAGCCUUGCCCCUUCCUCCAAGGAAGGGUGCGGCCAGGGAGGAGUCCUUUCCCCCCAAGGCACCUCGGAGGUGCCUUCCCCCUUUAGGACUCUCCGUUUAUCUUAUCUCUUGGUGCAUGGGCCUCUUGGGGCUGGUUCCCUUGGCCCAUAUAGGCCAAGGCGCACCCCCUACAGCCCAUGUGGCCCCCCGGGGCUGGUGGACCCCCUUGGUGGACCCCCGGACCCCUUUCGGCACUCCCGGUACAAUACCGAUAAAGUGCGAAACUUUUCCGGCGACCAAAAUAAGACUUCCCAUAUAUAAAUCUUUACCUCCGGACCAUUCCGGAACUCCUCGCGACGUCUGGGAUCUCAUCCGGGACUCCGAAAAACUUUCGGGUUACCGCAUACUAAUAUCUCUAUAACCCUAGCGUCACCGAACCUUAAGUGUGUAGACCCUACGGGUUCGGGAGACAGGCAGACAUGACCGAGACGACUCUCCGGUCAAUAACCAACAGCGGGAUCUGGAUACCCAUGUUGGCUCCCACAUGCUCCUCGAUGAUCUCAUCGGAUGAACCACGAUGUCGAGGAUUCAAUCAACCCCGUAUACAAUUCCCUUUGUCCAUCGAUAUGUUACUUGCCCGAGAUUCGAUCGUCGGUAUCCCGAUACCUUGUUCAAUCUCGUUACCGGCAAGUCUCUUUACUCGUUCCGUAACUCACAUCAUCCCGUGAUCAACUCCUUGGUCACACUGUGCACAUUAUGAUGAUGUCCUACCGAGUGGGCCCAGAGAUACCUCUCCGUUUACACGGAGUGACAAAUCCCAGUCUCGAUUCGUGCCAACCCAACAGACACUUUCGGAGAUACCUGUAGUGCACCUUUAUAGCCACCCAGUUACGUUGUGAUGUUUGGUACACCCAAAGCAUUCCUACAGUAUCCGGGAGUUGCACAAUCUCAUGGUCUAAGGAAAUGAUACUUGACAUUAGAAAAGCUCUUAGCAAACGAACUACACGAUCUUGUGCUAGGCUUAGGAUUGGGUCUUGUCCAUCACAUCAUUCUCCUAAUGAUGUGAUCCCAUUAUCAACGACAUCCAAUGUCCAUGGUCAGGAAACCGUAACCAUCUAUUGAUCAACGAGCUAGUCAACUAGAGGCUUACUAGGGACAUGGUGUUGUCUAUGUAUCCACACAUGUAUCUGAGUUUCCUAUCAAUACAAUUUUAGCAUGGAUAAUAAACGAUUAUCAUGAACAAGGAAAUAUAAUAAUAACCAAUUUAUUAUUGCCUCUAGGGCAUAUUUCCAACAGUCUCCCACUUGCACUAGAGUCAAUAAUCUAGUUCACAUCACCAUGUGAUUAACACUCACAGGUCACAUCACCAUGUGACCAACAUCCAAAGAGUUUACUAGAGUCAACAAUCUAGUUCACAUCACUAUGUGAUUAACACUCAAUGACUUCUGAUUUGAUCAUGUUAUGCUUGUGAGAGAGGUUAUUAGUCAACGGGUCUGAACCUUUCAGAUCCGUGUGUGCUUUACGAAUAUCUAUGUCAUCUUGUGGAUGCUACCACGCGCUAUUUGGAGCCAUUUAAAAUAAUUGCUCUACUAUACGAAUCUGGUUUACUACUCAGAGUCAUCCGGAUUAGUGUCGAAGUUCGCAUCGACGUAACCCUUUACGACGGACUCCUUUUCACCUCCAUAAUCGAGAAAAUUCCUUAGUCCACUAGAUACUAAGGAUAAGUUCGACCGCUGUCACGUGAUCCAUUCCCGGAUCACUAUUGUACCCCUUGACCAACUCAUGGCAAGGCACACUUCAUGUGCGGUACACAACAUAGCAUACUGUAGAGCCUACGUCUAAAGCAUAGGGGACGACCUUCGUCCUUUCUCUCUCUUCUGCUGUGGUCAGGUCUUGAGUCUUACUCAAUACUCACACCUUGUAACACAGCCAAGAACUCCUUCUUUGCUGAUAUAUUUUGAACUCUUUCAAAAUCAUGUCAAGGUGUGUGUUCUUUGAAAGUAUCAUCGGGCGUCUUGAUCUAUCUCUAUAGAUCUUGAUGCCCAAUAUGUAAGCAGCUUUAUCCAGGUCUUCCUUUGAAAAACUCCUUUCAAAAUUAUGCUUUCCAGAAAUUCUACAUCAUUUCGGAUCAACAAUAUGUCAUUCACAUAUACUUAUCAGAAAUGUUGUAGCGCUCCCACUCACUUUAUUGUAAAUACAAGUUUCUAACAAACUUUGUAUAAACCCAAAAACUUUGAUCACUCCAUGAAAGCGUAUAUUCUGACUCCGAGAUGCUUGCUCUAGUCCAUGGAAGGAUCGCUGGAGCUAGCAUACCUUUUAGCAUCCUUAGGAUCGACAAAACCUUUCUGAUUGUAUCACAUACAACCUUUCCUUACAAAAACUGGUAAGGAAACUUGUUUUGACAUCCAUCUGCCAGAUUUCAUAAAUGCAGCUAAUGCUAACAUGAUUCCGACGGACUUAAGCAUCGCUACGGAUGAGAAAAUCUCAUCGUAGUCAACUCCUUGAACUUGUGGAAAUACUCUUUGCCACAAGUCGAGCUUCAUAGACGGUAACAUUACCGUCCAUGUCCGUCUUCUUCUUAAAGAUCCAUUUAUCUCAAUGGCUUGCCGAUCAUCGGGCAAGUUCACCAAAGUCCAUGCUUUGUUCUGAUACAUGGAUCCUAUCUCGGAUUUCAUGGCUUCUAACCAUUUGUCGGAAUAUGGGCCCACCAUCGCUUCUCCAUAGCUCAUAGGUUCAUUGUUGUCUAACAACGUGACUUUCAAGACAGGAUCCACGUACCACUCUGAAGUAGCACGCAUCCUCGUCAUCCUACGAGGUUUGGUGGUGACUUGAUCCGAAGUUUCAUGAUCACUAUCAUAAGCUUCCACUUCAAUUGGUGUAGGUGCCACAGGAACAACUUCCUGUGCCCUGCUACACACUAGUUGAAGUGACGGUUCAAUAACCUUAUCAAGUCUCCACCAUCCUCCCACUCAAUUCUUUCGAGAGAAACUUUUCCUCGAGAAAGGACCUGUUUCUAGAAGCAAUUACUUUUGCUUCCAGAUCUGAAAUAGGAGGUAUACCCAACUGUUUUUGGGUAUUCUAUGAAGAUGCAUUUAUCCGCUUUGGGUUCGAGCUUAUCAGCCUGAAACUUUUUCACAUAAGCAUCGCAGCCCCAAACCUUUAAGAAACGACAACUUAGGUUUCUCUAAACGGUGUCAUCUCAACGGAAUUGCGUGGUGCCCCUUUUAAAGUGAAUGCGGUUGUCUCUAAUGCCUAACCCAUAAACGAUAGUGGUAAUUCGAUAAGAAACAUCAUGGUAUGCACCAUAUCCAAUAGGGUGCAGUUAUGAUGUUCGGACACACCAUCACACUAUGGUGUUCCAGGCGAUAUUAAUUGUGAAACACUUUCCACAAUGUCUUAAUUGUGUGCCAAACUCGUAACUCAGAUACUCAUCUCUAUGAUCAUAUCAGAGACAUUUUAUCCUCUUGUCACGAUGAUCUUCAACUUCACUCUGAAAUUACUUGAACCUUUCAAUAAUUCAGACUUGUGUUUCAUCAAGUAAAUACACUCAGCAUCUACUCAAAUCAUCUGUGAAGUAAGAACAUAACGAUAUCCACUGCAUGCCUCAGCACUCAUUGGACUGCAUACAUCAAAAUGUAUUACUUCCAAUAAGUUGCUCUCUUGUUCCAUCUUACUGAAAACGAGGCUUUUCAGUCAUCUUGCCCACAUGGUUUGAUUUGCAUGUCUCAAGUGAUUCAAAAUCAAGUGAGUCCAAACAAUCCAUCUGCAUGGAGUUUCUUCAUGCAUAUAUACCAAUAGACAUGGUUCGCAUGUCUCAAUCUUUUCAAAAACGAGUGAGUUCAAAGAUCCAUCUACAUGGAGCUUCUUCAUGCGUUUUAUCCCAAUAUGACUCAAAUGGCAGUGCCACAAGUAUGUGGUACUAUCAUUACUAUUUUAUAUCUUUUGGCACGAACAUGUGUAUCACUACGAUCGAGAUUCAUUUUAGGUGCAAGACCAUUGAAGGUAUUAUUCAAAUAAACAGAGCAACCAUUAUUCUCCUUAAAUGAAUAACCGUAUUGCGAUAAACAUAAUCCAAUCAUGCUCAACGCAAACACCAAAUCUCGAUGGCAGAGGGAGCAUGCGAUGCUUGAUCACAUCAACCUUGGAAACACUUCCAACACAUAUCGUCAUCUUCACUUGUCCUGGGGCGGCAGCAGCACGGACAUGCACAACUGAUUUCAAUUAGUACACACGAAGUAUGAUUAGCUAGUCUCCGUUUAUUCCGCAGCUUUUAUUUCGAGUUACUAACACUUAGCAACCGAACCGGUAUCUAAUACCCUGGUGCUGCUAGGAGUACUAGUAAAGUACACAUUCAUAUAACGUAUAUCCAAUAUACUUCUGUCGACCUUGCCUGCCUUCUCAUCUACCAAGUAUCUAGGGUAGUACUGCUUCAGUGACCGUUCCUCUCAUUACAGAAGCACUUAGUCUCGGGUUUGGGUUCAACCUUGGGAUUCUUCACUAGAGCAGCAAACGACUUGCUGUUUCAUGAAGUAUCCCUUUUGCCCUUGCCCUUCUUAAACUAGUGGUUUUACUAACCAUCAACAAUUGAUGCUCCUUCUUGAUUUCUACUCUCGCGGUGUCAAACAUCGCGAAUAGCUCAAGGAUCAUCAUAACUAUCCCUGAUAUGUUAUAGUUCAUCACGAAGCUCUACUAGCUUGGUGGCAGUGACUAUGGAGAACUAUCACUAUCUCAUCUGGGAGAUUAACUCCCACUCGAUUCAAGCGAUUGUGGCACUCAGACAAUCUGAGCACAUGCUCAACGAUUGAGCUUUUCUCCCUUAGUUUGCAGGCUUAAGAAACUUGUCAGAGGUCUCAUACCUCUUGACGUGGGCACUAGUCUGAAAUCCCAAUUUCAGUCUUCGGAACAUCUCAUAUGUUCUGCGACGUUUCAAAACCGUCUUUGGUGCCACAAUUCUAAACCGUUAGCAUUACGCACUGAACUAUCACGUAGUUAUCAAAACGUGUAUGUCAGAUGUUCCGCAACAUCUACAGACGACGCUGAGGUUCAGCACACCGAGCGGUGCAUUAAGGACAUGAGCCUUCUGUGCAACAAUGAGGACAAUCCUCAGUUUAUGGACCCAGUCCACAUAAUUGCUACUACCAACUUUCAACUAAAUUUUCUCUAGGAACAUAUCUUAAACAGUAGAACUUAAGCGCAAUGACAUAAUUUGUAAGACCUUUUGACUAUGUUCAUGAUAAUGAAGUUCAUCUGAUUACUGAACUCCCACUCAGAUAGACAUCCCUCUAGUCAUCUAAGUGAUACAUGAUCCGAGUCAAACUAGGCCGUGUCCGAUCAUCACGUGAGACGGACUGGUCAUCAUCGGUGAACAUCUCCAUGUUGAUCGUAUCUUCUAUACGACUCAUGCUCGACCUUUCGGUCUCUUGUGUUCCGAGGCCAUGUCUGUACAUGCUAGGCUCGUCAAGUCAACCUAAGUGUUUCGCAUGUGUUCCGAGGCCAUGUCUGUACAUGCUAGGCUCGUCAACACCCGUUGUAUUCGAACGUUAGAAUAUAUCACACCCGAUCAUCACGUGGUGCUUCGAAACAACGAACCUUCACAACGGUGCACAGUUAGGGGGAACACGUCUCUUGAAAUUUUUUUAGUGAGGGAUCAUCUUACUUACUACCGUCGUUCUAAGCAAAUAAGAUGCAUAACAUGAUAAACAUCACAUGCAAUCAAAUAGUGACAUGAUAUGGCCAAUAUCAUUUUGCUCCUUUGAUCUCCAUCUUCGGGGCACCAUGAUCAUCUUUGUCACCGGCAUGACACCAUGAUCUCCAUCAUCAUGAUCUCCAUCAUUGUGUCUUCAUGAAGUUGUCACGCCAACGAUUACUUCUACUUCUAUGGCUAACACGCUUAGCAAUAAAGUAAAGUAAUUUACAUGGCGUUAUUCAAUGACACGCAGGUCAUACAAAAAUAAAGACAACUCCUAUGGCUCCUGCCGGUUGUCAUACUCAUCAACAUGCAAGUCGUGAUUCCUAUUACAAGAAUAUGAUCAAUCUCAUACAUCACAUAUAUCAUUCAUCACAUCUUCUGGCCAUAUCACAUCACAUAGCACAUGCUGCAAAAACAAGUUAGACGUCCUCUAAUUGUUGUUGCAAGUUUUUACGUGGCUUGUAUAGGUUUCUAGCAAGAACGUUUCUUACCAACGUAAAACCACAACGUGAUAUGCCAAUUUCUAUUUACCCUUCAUAAGGACCCUUUUCAUCGAAUCCGUUCCGACUAAAGUGGGAGAGACAAACACCCGCUAGCCACCUUAUGCAACUAGUGCAUGUCAGUCGGUGGAACCUGUCUCACGUAAGCGUACGUGUAAGGUCGGUCCGGGCCGCUUCAUCCCACAAUGCCGCCGAAACAAGAUAAGACUAGUAGCGGCAAGAAGAAUUGGCAACAUCUACGGCCACAACUACUUUGUGUUCUACUCGUGCAUAGAAACUACGCAUAGACCUAGCUCAUGAUGCCACUGUUGGGGAACGUAGCAGAAAUUCAAAAUUUUCUACGCAUCACCAAGAUCAAUCUAUGGAGUAAUCUAGCAACGAGGGGAAGGGGAGUGCAUCUACAUACCCUUGUAGAUCGCGAGCGGAAGCGUUCAAGAGAACGGGGUUGAUGGAGUCGUACUCGUCGUGAUCCAAAUCACCGAUGAUCCUAGCGCCGAACGGACGGCACCUCCGCGUUCAACACACGUACGGAGCAGCGACGUCUCCUCCUUCUUGAUCCAGCAAGGGGGGAGGAGAGGUUGAUGGAGAUCCAGCAGCACGACGGCGUGGUGGUGGAAGUAGCGGGAUCCCGGCAGGGCUUCGCCAAGCGCAAGCGGGGAGGAAGAGGUGUCACGGGAGGGAGAGGGAGGCGCCAGGGCUUAGGUGUUGCUGCCCUCCCUUCCCCCCACUAUAUAUAGGGCCAAGGGAGAGGGGGGGCNNNNNNNNNNNNNNNNNNNNNNNNNNNNNNNNNNNNNNNNNNNNNNNNNNNNNNNNNNNNNNNNNNNNNNNNNNNNNNNNNNNNNNNNNNNNNNNNNNNNNNNNNNNNNNNNNNNNNNNNNNNNNNNNNNNNNNNNNNNNNNNNNNNNNNNNNNNNNNNNNNNNNNNNNNNNNNNNNNNNNNNNNNNNNNNNNNNNNNNNNNNNNNNNNNNNNNNNNNNNNNNNNNNNNNNNNNNNNNNNNNNNNNNNNNNNNNNNNNNNNNNNNNNNNNNNNNNNNNNNNNNNNNNNNNNNNNNNNNNNNNNNNNNNNNNNNNNNNNNNNNNNNNNNNNNNNNNNNNNNNNNNNNNNNNNNNNNNNNNNNNNNNNNNNNNNNNNNNNNNNNNNNNNNNNNNNNNNNNNNNNNNNNNNNNNNNNNNNNNNNNNNNNNNNNNNNNNNNNNNNNNNNNNNNNNNNNNNNNNNNCCCCAAGGCACCUCGGAGGUGCCUUCCCCCUUUAGGACUCUCCGUUUAUCUUAUCUCUUGGCACAUGGGCCUCUUGGGGCUGGUUCCCUUGGCCCAUAUAGGCCAAGGCGCACCCCCUACAGCCCAUGUGGCCCCCCGGGGCUGGUGGACCCCCUUGGUGGACCCCCGGACCCCUUUCGGCACUCCCAGUACAAUACCGAUAAAGUGCGAAACUUUUCCGGCGACCAAAAUAAGACUUCCCAUAUAUAAAUCUUUACCUCCGGACCAUUCCGGAACUCCUCGUGACGUCCGGGAUCUCAUCCGGGACUCCGAACAACUUUCGGGUUACCGCAUACUAAUAUCUCUAUAACCCUAGCGUCACCGAACCUUAAGUGUGUAGACCCUACGGGUUCGGGAGACAGGCAGCCAUGACCGAGACGACUCUCCGGUCAAUAACCAACAGCGGGAUCUGGAUACCCAUGUUGGCUCCCACAUGCUCCUCGAUGAUAUCAUCGGAUGAACCACGAUGUCGAGGAUUCAAUCAAUCCCGUAUACAAUUCCCUUUGUCCAUCGGUAUGUUACUUGCCCGAGAUUCGAUCGUCGGUAUCCCGAUACCUUGUUCAAUCUCGUUACCGGCAAGUCUCUUUACUCGUUCCAUAACUCACAUCAUCCCGUGAUCAACUCCUUGGUCACACUGUGCACAUUAUGAUGAUGUCCUACCGAGUGGGCCCAGAGAUACCUCUCCGUUUACACGGAGUGACAAAUCCCAGUCUCGAUUCGUGCCAACCCAACAGACACUUUCGGAGAUACCUGUAGUGCACCUUUAUAGCCACCCAGUUACGUUGUGACGUUUGGUACACCCAAAGCAUUCCUACGGUAUCCGGGAGUUGCACAAUCUCAUGGUCUAAGGAAAUGAUACUUGACAUUAGAAAAGCUCUUAGCAAACGAACUACACGAUCUUGUGCUAGGCUUAGGAUUGGGUCUUGUCCAUCACAUCAUUCUCCUAAUGAUGUGAUCCCAUUAUCAACGACAUCCAAUGUCCAUGGUCAGGAAACCGUAACCAUCUAUUGAUCAAUGAGCUAGUCAACUAGAGGCUUACUAGGGACAUGGUGUUGUCUAUGUAUCCACACAUGUAUCUGAGUUUCCUAUCAAUACAAUUUUAGCAUGGAUAAUAAACGAUUAUCAUGAACAAGGAAAUAUAAUAAUAACCAAUUUAUUAUUGCCUCUAGGGCAUAUUUCCAACAAUCCAGUCGUCACACUGCUCCGGGUGUUUGGAGCGCAGACUGUUCUUGUGUUCAUCGGCAUACGGGGUCACCAAGGUAGAGUUCUGUAGAACUGUGUAGUGUGCUUGAGACCAAGAAUGCCCGUCCCUGCAUAUUAUUGAGUCCCCUCCAAGCGUGCCUUUUCCAGUCAUUCUCCCCUCAUACCGCGAUAUAGGGAGACCUAUCUUCUUAAGGCCAGGAAUGAAGUCAACACAAAACCCAAUGACAUCCUUUGUUUGAUGGCCCAUGGAGAUGCUUCCUUCUGGCCUAGCGCGGUUACGGACAUAUUUGUUUUGGACUCCAAUGAACCUCUCAAAGGGGAACAUAUUGUGUAGAAAUACGGGCCCCAGAAUGACAAUCUCGUCGACUAGAUGAACUAGGACGUGCGUCAUGAUAUUGAAGAAGGAUGGUGGGAACACCAGCUUGAAACUGACAAGACAUUGCGCCACAUCACUCCUUAGCCUUGGUAUGAUUUCUGGAUCGAUCACCUUCUGAGAGAUUGCAUUGAAGAAUGCACAUAGCUUCACAAUGGCUAAUCGGACGUUUUCCGGUAGAAGCCCCCUCAAUGCAACCGGAAGCAGUUGCGUCAUAAUCACGUGGCAGUCAUGAGACUUUAGGUUCUGGAACUUUUUCUCUGCUAUAUUUAUUAUUCCCUUUAUAUUCAAUGAGAAGCCAGUUGGGACCUUCAUACUGAGCAGGCAUUCAAAGAAGAUUUCCUUCUCUUCUUUGGUAAGAGCGUAGCUGACAGGACCUUCAUACUGCUUUGGAGGCAUGUCGUGUUUUUCGUGCAAACGUUGCAGGUCCUCCCGUGCUUCAGGUGUAUCUUUUGUCUACCCAUACACGCCCAAGAAGCCUAGCAGGUUCACGCAAAGGUUCUUCGUCACGUGCAUCACAUCGAUUGAAGAGCGGAGCUCUAGGUUUUUCCAGUAGGGUAGGUCCCAAAAUAUAGAUUUCUUCUUCCACAUGGGUGCGCGUCCCUCAGCGUCAUUCGGAACAGCUAGUCCGCCGGGACCCUUUCCAAAGAUUACGUGUAAAUCAUUGACCAUAGCAAGUACGUGAUCACCGGUACGCAUGGCGGGCUUCUUCCGGUGAUCUGUCUCGCCUUUGAAAUGCUUGCCUUUCUUUCGACAUUGAUGGUUGGUCAGAAGAAAUCGACGAUGGCCCAGGUACACAUUCUUCCUUCAUUUGUCCAGGUAUAUACUUUCGGUGUCAGCUAAACAGUGCGUGCAUGCGUGGUAUCCCUUGUUUGUCUAUCCUGAAAGGUUACCGAGAGCGGGCCAAACGUUGAUGGUUACAAACAGCAACGCGUGCAAGUUAAAUUCCUCCUGUUUGUGCUCAUCCCACACACGUACACCGUUUCCAUUCCACGGCUGUAAAAGUUCUUCAACUAAUGGCCUUAGGUACACAUCAAUGUCGUUGCCGGGUUGCUUAGGGCCUUGGAUGAGAAUUGGCAUCAUAAUGAACUUCCACUUCAUGCACAUCCAAGGAGGAAGGUUAUACAUACAUAGAGUCACGGGCCAGGUGCUGUGAUUGCUGCUCUGCUCCCCGAAAGGAUUAAUGCCAUUCGCGCUUAAACCAAACCAUACGUUCCUUGGGUCACCUGCAAACUCAGCCGAGUAGUUUCUCUCGAUUUUUCUCCACUGCGACCCAUCAGCGGGUGCUCUCAACUUCCCGUCUUUCUUACUGCCCUCUCUGUGCCAUCGCAUCAACUUGGCAUGCUCUUCGUUUCUGAACAGACGUUUCAACCGUGGUAUUAUAGGAGCAUACCACAUCACCUUCGCAGGAACCCUCUUCCUGGGGGACUCGCCGUCAACAUCACCAGGGUCAUCUCGUCUGAUCUUAUACCGCAAUGCACCGCAUACCGGGCAUGCGUUCAAAUCCUCGUACGCACCACGGUAGAGGAUGCAGUCAUCAGGGCAUGCAUAUAUCUUCUGCACCUCCAAUCCUAGAGGGCAUACGACCUUCUUUGCUGCGUACGUACUGUCGGGCAAUUCGUUAUCCUUUGGAAGCUUCUUCUUCAAUAUUUUUAGUAGCUUCUCAAAUCCUUUGCCAGGCACAGCAUUCUCUGCCUUCCACUGCAGCAAUUCCAGUAUGGUACCGAGCUUUGUGUUGACACCUUCGCAAUUGGGGUACAACCCUUUUUUGUGAUCCUCUAACAGGCGAUCGAACUUCAGCUUCUCCUUUUGACUUUCGCACUGUGUCCUUGCAUCAACAAUGACCCGGCGGAGAUCAUCAUCAUCGGGGACAUCAUAUGGUUCCUGAUCUUGAUCUUUAGCAGCUUCCCCUGUUGCAACAUCACCGUAUUCAGGGGGCACAUAGUUGUCAUCGUCCUCUUCUUCUUCGUUGUCUUCCAUCAUAACCCCUAUUUCUCCGUGCCUCGUCCAAACUUUAUAGUGUGGCAUGAUACCCUUAUAAAGCAAGUGGGUGUGAAGGAUUUUCUGGUUAGAGUAAGACUUCGUAUUCCCACAACUAGGGCAUGGACAACACAUAAAACAUUUCUGCUUGUUUGCCUCAGCCACUUCGAGAAAAUUAUGCGCACCCUUAACGUACUCGGAGGUGUGUCUGUCACCAUACAUCCACUGCCGGUUCAUCUACAUGCAUUAUAUAUAAUUAGACAAGUAUCUAUAUAAAGUAAGAAUUCGUUUCUUUCAGAAAGAAGAUAAGAACAAGAGGCUCACCACGGUGGUGUCGGCGACGAGAUCGGCACGGGCGAUCGACGGUGAAGACGGGAACAGGACGUGACGGACCGCUAAACCUAUGUAAAUCUCGGGGAAAAUGGAGCUUGGAGGUCGAGCUUGGAGAGGAGAAAGCUUAACUAGUGUGGCUCAGGCAUUUCAUCGAACAUCUCAUGUGCAUAGGAGGUGAGCUAGAGCACCCAAAUGCCCUCCCCUCGCCGGCCAGAAAAAACAGAGCACUGUGGAGUGCUCUGCUGCGGCGAUGGGGUAUAUAUAGGCAACUCAUUUGUCCCGGUUCGUGGCUGGAACCGGGACUAAAGCCCACCCCUCGAACCGGGACAAAUGUAUGUGGGCCAGGAGCGAGGCCUAUUGGUCCCGGUUCGUGCGAGGAACCGGGACAAAUGGGUCCAGACGAACCGGGACCAAUGCCCACGAGGCCCCGGCCGGCCCCCUGGGCUCACGAACCGGGACAUAUGCCCCCAUGGGUCCCGGUUCGUGACUGAACCGGGACUAAUGGGCUGGUCAAGCCCCAACCAAAGCCCUGUUUUCUACUAGUGAAAUGGUUAGCCACACCUUUAAUUGGUAGCAUGCCAUUUUCAAUCCAUGCCAUCACAGUUUUUCCGAAAUAGUGGUGGCGUGGGCAUAUUUGGUACGCCACCUUUAUAGUGUUAGUGGUGGCAUGGCAUUGUUUUAAGACAACACAAGUUUGGGACUCCAUCUGCACCCAGGCACAAUGUAGUGUUGGCAUGUGAAUUGUAUACAUCACAUAGGUACUUAGACAAGCGCCACGAAUAACCUAAAUAAAAUCUAAACUAAAACUAAAAAGAAAUAAAAUAUAAGCUAAAAUGAAAUAAAAUAAAAUAAACAUAAAUAAAAUAAAAAAUAGAACCUAAAUUAAAAGUAGACUUAAAUAAAAUAAAAAUAAGCAUAAACACAAAACAAAAUAUAAAGUAAAAUAAUAAAGCUAAAUUUAAAAUAAAAUUAAUACAAUAUAAAAAUAACAUAUUUUAAAAAUAAAUUAAAUGAAAAUAAGCAUAAGUAAAACAUAAACAUAAAUAAAAUCUAAAUUUAUAAUAAUCAUAAAUAAAAUAUAUAAAUAAAUAAAAAUAAACAUGGUCUGAAUAAAAAUAAACCUUGUUUAUGGGAUGAAUUUUUGGGCCUGAUAUAUCUAUGGCAUGGGUUGCUUGUCGCAUGCCGGUAGCUCGGCUAUUUUAACCUAGAUAGGGCUUAGCUUGAUAUGAAGGAAAUAUGCCCUAGAGGCAAUAAUAAAGUUGUUAUUUAUAUUUCCUUAUAUCAUGAUAAAUGUUUAUUAUUCAUGCUAGAAUUGUAUUAACCGGAAACUUAGUACAUGUGUGAAUACAUAGACAAAACAUAAGCGUCCCUAGUAUGCCUCUACUAGACUAGCUCGUUAACCAAAGAUGGUUAAGUUUCCUAGCCAUAGACAUGUGUUGUCAUUUGAUGAAUGGGAUCACAUCAUUAGAGAAUGAUGUGAUGGACAAGACCCAUCCGUUAGCUUAGCACUAUGAUCGUUUAGUUUAUUGCUAUUGCUUUCUUCAUGACUCAUACAUGUUCCUAUGACUAUGAGAUUAUGCAACUCCCGAAUACCGGAGGAACACUUAGUGUGCUAUCAAAUGUCACAACGUAACUGGGUGAUUAUAGAGAUGAUCUACAGGUGUCUCCGAUGGUGUUUGUUGAGUUGGCAUAGAUCGAGAUUAGAAUUUGUCACUCCGAUUGUCGGAGAGGUAUCUCUGGGCCCUCUCGGUAAUGCACAUCACAAUAAGCCUUGCAAGCAAUGUGACUAAUGAGUUCGUUGCGGGAUGAUGCAUUACGGAACGAGUAAAGAGACUUGCCGGUAAUGAGAUUGAACUAGGUAUGAUGGUACCGACGAUCGAAUCUCGAGCAAGUAACAUACCGAUGACAAAGGGAACAACAUAUGUUGUUGUGCGGUUUGACCGAUAAAGAUCUUCGUAGAAUAUGUAGGAGCCAAUAUGAGCAUCCAGGUUCCGCUAUUGGUUAGUGACCUGAGAUAUGUCUCGGUCAUGUCUACAUAGUUCUCGAACCCGUAGGGUCCGCACGCUUAAAGUUUCGAUGACAAUUAUAUUAUGGGUUUAUAUGUUUUGAUGUACCGAAGGUUGUUCGGAGUCCCGGAUGUGAUUAACACCCAUAGUUCACAUCGUCAUGUGACCAACACCCAAAGGGUUUACUAGAGUCAAUAAUCUAGUUCACAUCGCUAUGUGAUUAACACCCAAAGAGUACUAAGGUGUGAUCAUGUUUUGCUUGUGAGAUAAUUUUAGUCAACGGGUCUGUCACAUUCAGAUCCGUAAGUACUUUGCAAAUUUCUAUGUCUACAAUGCUCUGCACGGAGCUACUCUAGCUAAUUGCUCCCACUUUCAAUAUGUAUCCAGAUUGAGACUUAGAGUCAUCUGGAUCAGUGCCAAAAUUUGCAUCGAACCCUUUUUGUCACCUCCAUAAUCGAGAAACAUAUCCUUAUUCCACUAAGGAUAAUUUUGACCGCUGUCCAGUGAUCUACUCCUAGAUCACUAUUGUACUCCCUUGACAAAAUCAAUGUAGGGUAUACAAUAGAUCUGGUACACAGCAUGGCAUACUUUAUAGAACCUAUGGCCAAGGCAUAGGGAAUGACUUUCAUUCUCUUUCUAUCUUCUGCCGUGGUCUGGCUUUGAGUCUUACUCAAUUUCACACCUUGUAACACAGGCAAGAACUCUUUCUUUGACUGUUCCAUUUUGAACUACUUCAAAAUCUUGUCAAGGUAUAUACUCAUUGAAAAAACUUAUCAAGUGUCUUGAUCUAUCUCUAUAGAUCUUGAUGCUUAAUAUGUAAGCAGCUUCACCGAGGUCUUUCUUUGAAAAACUCCUUUCAAACACUCCGUUAUGCUUUGCAUAAUAAUUCUACAUUAUUUCCGAUCAACAAUAUGUCAUUCACAUAUACUUAUCAGAAAUGCUGUAGUGCUCCCACUCACUUUCUUGUAAAUACAGGCUUCACCGCAAGUCUGUAUAAAACUAUAUGCUUUGAUCAACUUAUCAAAGCGUAUAUUCCAACUCCGAGAUGCUUACGCCAGUCCAUAGAUGGAUCGUUGGAGCUUGCAUAUUUUGUUAGCACCUUUAGGAUUGACAAAACCUUCUGGUUGUAUCAUAUACAACUCUUCUUUAAUAAAUCCAUUUAAGGAUUGCAAUUUUUGUUAUCCAUUUGCCAGAUUUCAUAAAAUGCGGCAAUUGCUAACAUGAUUCGGACAGACUUAAGCAUAGAUACGAGUGAGAAACUCUCAUCGUAGUCAACAUCUUGAACUUGUCGAAAAUCUUUUGCGACAAUUCUAGCUUUGUAGAUAGUAACACUACUAUCAGCGUCCGUCUUCCUCUUGAAGAUCCAUUUAAUCUCAAUGGCUCGCCGAUCAUUGGGCAAGUCAAUCAAAGUCCAUACUUUGUUCUCAUACAUGGAUCUCAUCUCAGAUUUCAUGGCCUCAAGCCAUUUCCCGGAAUCUGGGCUCAUCAUCGCUUCCUCAUAGUUCGUAGGUUCGUCAUGGUCAAGUAACCUCCAGAACAGGAUUACCGUACCACUCUGGUGCGGAUCUCACUCUGGUUUACCUACGAGGUUCGGUACUAACUUGAUUUGAAGUUACAUGAUCAUCAUCAUUAGCUUCCUCACUAAUUGGUGUAGUAGUCACAGGAACAGAUUUCUGUGAUGAACUACUUUCCAAUAGGGGAGCAGGUACAGUUACCUCAUCAAGUUCUACUUUCCUCCCACUCACUUCUUUCGAGAGAAACUCCUUCUCUAGAAAGGAUCCAUUAUAAGCAACGAAUAUCUUGCCUUCGGAUCUGUGAUAGAAGGCGUACCCAACUGUCUCCUUUGGGUAUCCUAUGAUGACACAUUUAUCCGAUUUGGGUUUGAGCUUAUCAGGAUGAAACUUUUUCACAUAAGCAUCGCAACCCCAAAUUUUAAGAAACGACAACUUUGGUUUUUUUCCAAACCACAAUUCAUAAGGCGUCGUCUCAAUGGAUUUAGAUGGUGCCCUAUUUAAUGUGAAUGCAGCUGUCUCUAAUGCAUAACCCCAAAAUGAUAGUGGUAAAUCGGUAAGAAACAUCAUAGAUUGCACUAUAUCCAAUAAAGUACGGUUAUGACGUUCGGACACACCAUUAUGUUGUGGUGUUCCUGGUGGCACGAAUUUGUGAAACUAUUCCACAUUGUUUUAAUUGAAGACCAAACUCGUAACUAAAAAAUUUGUCUCCACGAUCAAAUCGUAGAAACUUUAUUUUCUUGUCACGAUGAUUUUCCACUUCACUCUGAAAUUCUUUGAACUUUUCAACUGUUUCAAACUUAUGUUUCAUCAAGUAGAUAUACCCAUAUUUGCUCAAAUCAUCUGUGAACGUCAGAAAAUAACGAUACCCGCCGCGAGCCUCAACACUCAUCGGAUCGCAAACAUCAGUAUGUAUUAUUUCCAAUAAGUCAGUUGCUCGAUCCAUUGUUCCGGAGAACGGAGUCUUAGUCAUCUUGCCCAUAAGGCAUGGUUCGCAAGCAUCAAGUGAUUCAUAAUCAAGUGAUUCCAAAAGCCCAUCAGCAUGGAGUUUCUUCAUGCGCUUUACACCAAUAUGACCUAAACGGCAGUGCCACAAAUAAGUUGCACUAUCAUAAUUAACUUUGCAUCUUUUGGUUUCAAUAUUAUGAAUAUGUGUAUCACUAUGAUCGAGAUCCAACGAACCAUUUUCAUUGGGUGUGUAACCAUAUAAGGUUUUAUUCAUGUAAACAGAACAACAAUUAUUCUCUAUCUUAAAUGAAUAACCGUAUUGCAAUAAACAUGAUCAAAUCAUAUUCAUGCUCAAUGCAAACACCAAAUAACACUUAUUUAGGUUCAACACUAAUCCCGAAAGUAUAGGGAAUGUGCGAUGAUGAUCAUAUCAAUCUUGGAACUACUUCCAACACACAUCGUUACUUCACCCUUAACUAGUCUCUGUUCAUUCUGCAACUCCUGUUUCGAGUUACUAAUCUUAGCAACUGAACUAGUAUCAAAUACUAAGGGGUUGCUAUAAACACUAGUAAAGUACACAUCAAUAACAUGUAUAUCAAAUAUACUUAUGUUCACUUUGCCAUCCUUCUUAUCCGCCAAUCACUUGGGGUAGUUCCGCUUCCAGUGACCAGUCCCUUUGCAGUAGAAGCACUUAGUCUCAGGCUUAGGUCCAGACUUGGGCUUCUUCACUCGAGCAGCAACUUGCUAGCCGUUCUUCUUGAAGUUCCCCUUCUUCCCUUUGCCCUUUUCUUGAAACUAGUGGUCUUGUCAACCAUCAACACUUGAUGUUUUUCUUGAUUUCUACCUUCGUCGACUUCAGCAUCACGAAGAGCUUGAGAAUUGUUUCCGUUAUCCCUUCCAUAUAGUUCAUCACGAAGUUAUACUAACUUGGUGAUGGUGACUAGAGAAUUCUAUCAAUCACUAUCUUAUCUGGAAGAUUAACUCCCACUUGAUUCAAGCGAUUGUAGUACCCAGACAAUCUGAGCACAUGCUCACUGCUUGAGCUAUUCUCCUCCAUCUUUUAGCUAUAGAACUUGUUGGAGACUUCAUAUCUCUCAACUCGGGUAUUUGCUUGAAAUAUUAACUUCAACUCCUGGAACAUCUCAUAUGGUCCAUGACGUUCAAAACGUCUUUGAAGUCCCGAUUCUAAGCCGUUAAGCAUGGCGCACUAAACUAUCAAGUAGUCAUCAUAUUGAGCUAGCCAAACGUUCAUAACGUCUGCAUCUGCUCCUGCAAUAGGUCUGUCACCUAGCGGUGCAUCAAGGACAUAAUUCUUCUGUGCAGCAAUGAGGAUAAACCUCAGAUCAUGGAUCCAAUUCUCAUCAUUGCUACUAACAUCUUUCAACUUAGUUUUCUCUAGGAACAUAUAAAAAUUAAACGGGGAGCAACAUCGCGAGCUAUUGAUCUACAACAUAGAUAUGCUAAUACUACCAGGACUAAGUUCAUGAUAAAUUAAAGUUCAAUUAAUCAUAUUACUUAAGAACUCCCACUUAGAUAGACAUCCCUCUAAUCCUCUAAGUGAUCACGUGAUCCAUAUCAAUUAAACUAUGUCCGAUCAUCACGUGAGAUGGAGUAGUUUCAACGGUGAACAUCACUAUGUUGAUCAUAUCUACUAUAUGAUUCACGCUCGACCUUUUGGUCUCCGUGUUCCAAGGCCAUAUCUGUUAUAUUCUAGGCUCGCCAAGCUUAACCUGAGUAUUCCGCGUGUGCAAUUGUUUUGCACCCGUUGUAUUUGAACGUAGAGCCUAUCACACCCGAUCAUCACGUGGUGUCUCAGCACGAAGAACUUUCGCAAUGGUGCAUACUCAGGGAGAAUACUUAUACUUUGAUAAUUUAGUGAGGGAUCAUCUUAUAAUGCUACCGUCAAUCAAAGCAAGAUAAGAUGCAUAAAAGAUAAACAUCACAUGCAAUCAAUAUAAGUGAUAUGAUAUGGCCAUCAUCAUGUUGUGCUUGUGAUCUCCAUCUCCGAAGCACCGUCAUGAUCACCAUCUUCACCGGCGCGACACCUUGAUCUCCAUCGUAGUAUCGUUGUCGUCUCGCCAAUCUUAUGCUUCUACGACUAUCGCUACCGCUUAGUGAUAAAGUAAAGCAUUACAGGGCGAUUGCAUUGCAUACAAUAAAGCGACAACCAUAUGGCUCCUGCCAGUUGCUGAUAACUCGGUUACAAAACAUGAUCAUCUCAUACAAUAAAAUUUAGCAUCAUGUCUUGACCAUAUCACAUCACAACAUGCCCUGCAAAAACAAGUUAGACGUCCUCUACUUUGUUGUUGCAAGUUUUACGUGGCUGCUACGGGCUUAGAAAGAACCGUUCUUACCUACGCAUCAAAACCACAACGAUAGUUUGUCAAGUUGGUGCUGUUUUAACCUUCGCAAGGACCGGGCACAGCCACACUCGGUUCAACUAAAGUUGGAGAAACUGACAGCCGCCAGCCACCUAUGUGCAAAGCACGUCGGUGGAACCAGUCUCGCGUAAGCGUACGCGUAAUGUCGGUCCAGGCUGCUUCAUCCAACAAUACCGCCGAACCAAAGUAUGACAUGCUGGUAAGCAGUAUGACUUAUAUCGCCCACAACUCACUUGUGUUCUACUCGUGCAUAUAACAUCAACGCAUAAAACCAGGCUCUGAUACCACUGUUGGGGAAUGUAGUAAUUUCAAAAAAAAUCCUACGCACACGCAAGAUCAUGGUGAUGCAUAGCAAUGAGUGGGGAGAGUGUGUGCACGUACCCUCAUAGACCGAAAGCGGAAGCGUUAGCACAACGCGGUUGAUGUAGUCGUACGUUUUCAUGAUCUGACCGAUCAAGUACCGAACGCACGACACCUCCGAGUUCAGCACACGUUCAGCCCAAUGACAUCCCUCGAACUCCGAUCCAGCCGAGUGUUGAGGGAGAGUUUCGUCAGCACGACGGCGUGGUGACGAUGAUGAUGUUCUACCGACGCAGGGCUUCGCCUAAGCACCGCUACGAUAUUAUCGAGGUGGAUUAUGGUGGAGGGGGGCACCGCACACGGCUAAAAGAUCAAACGAUCAAUUGUUGUGUCUCUAGGGUGCCCCCUGCCCCCGUAUAUAAAGGAGCAAGGGGGAGGUGCGGCCGGCCAGGAGGGGGCGCGCCAGGAGGAGUCCUACUCCCACCGGGAGUAGGACUCCCUCCCUUUUCCUUGUUGGACUAGGAGAAGAGGGGGAAAGAGGUGGAGGAGAAGAAGGAAGGGGGGCGCCGUCCCCCUCUUCUUGUCCUAUUCGGACUAGGGGGAGGGGCACGCGGCCCUUGCUCUGGCCGCCUCUCCUCUUCUCAAAUAAGGCCCACUAUGGCCCAUUAACCCCCGGGGGGUUCCGGUAACCCCUCCGGUACUCCGGUAAAAUCCCGAUUUCACCCGGAACACUUCCGAUAUCCAAAUAUAGGCUUCCAAUAUAUCAAUCUUCAUGUCUCGACCAUUUCGAGACUCCUCGUCAUGUCCGUGAUCACAUCCGGGACUCUGAAAAACCUUCAGUACAUCAAAACAUAUAAACUCAUAAUAUAACUGUCAUCGAAACUUUAAGCGUGCGGACCCUACGGGUUCGAGAACUAUGUAGACAUGACCGAGACACGUCUCUGGUCAAUAACAAAUAGCGGAACCUGGAUGCUCAUAUUGACUCCCACAUAUUCUACGAAGAUCUUUAUCGGUCAGACCGCAUAACAACAUACGUUGUUCCCUUUGUCAUCGGUAUGUUACUUGCCCGAGAUUCGAUCAUCGGUAUCUCAAUACCUAGUUCAAUCUUGUUACCGGCAAGUCUCUUUACUCGUUCCGUAGUACAUCAUCCCGCAACUAACUCAUUAGUUGCAAUGCUUGCAAGGCUUAAGUGAUGUGCAUUACCGAGUGGGCCCAGAGAUACCUCUUCGACAAUCAGAGUGACAAAUCCUAAUCUCGAAAUACGCCAACCCAACAAGUACCUUCGGAGACACCUAUAGGGCACCUUUAUAAUCACCCAGUUACGUUGUGACAUUUGGUAGCACACAAAGUGUUCCUCCGGUAAACGGGAGUUGCAUAAUCUCAUAGUCAUAGGAACAUGUAUAAGUCAUGAAGAAAGCAAUAGCAACAUACUAAACGAUCGUGUGCUAAGCUAACGGAAUGGGUCAAGUCAAUCACGUCAUUCUCCUAAUGAUGUGAUCCCGUUAAUCAAAUGACAACUCAUGUCUAUGGCUAGGAAACAUAACCAUCUUUGAUCAACGAGCUAGUCAAGUAGAGGCAUACUAGUGACACUAUGUUUGUCUAUGUAUUCACACAUGUAUUAUGUUUCCGGUUAAUGCAAUUCUAGCAUGAAUAAUAAACAUUUAUCAUGAUAUAAGGAAAUAAAUAAUAACUUUAUUAUUGCCUCUAGGGCAUAUUUCCUUCACUAACGUGCCCCUCAUGCUUGGGUUGUGGAAGCGGCUUAGUCAACGGAUCUGCAACAUUUGCAUCCGUGUGAAUUUUGCAUAACUCUACAUCACCAUUCUUUAUGAUCUUUCGUAUCAGGUGAUAUUUCCGAUCUAUGUGUCUGGUCUUGUGGUGAUUCCUCGGCUCCUUGGCUUGUGCGAUGGCACCAGAAUUAUCACAAUAAAGGUCCAACGGUUUUACCGAGGCUAGGAAAAUACCAAGAUCAUCUAGAAAGUUCCGGAUCCAAACACCCUCCUUCACAGCUUCACAAGCCGCAAUGUAUUCGGCUUCUGUGGUAGAAUCGGCCACCGUGUCUUGCUUGGAACUUAUCCAGCUCACUGCUCCUCCAUUCAUGACGUACACGAACCGGACUGUGAUCGACAAUCAUCUCUGUCAGUUUGGGAACUAGCGUCGGCGUAACCCCUUACGACGAGCUCUUCCUCACCUCCAUAAACUAGGAACAUCUCUUUAGUCCUUUUCAGGUACUUCAAAAUAGUCUGUACCGCUGCCCAGUGACUCUCACCUGGGUUGGCCUGGUAUCUGCUUGUUAGGCUUAUUGCAAAAGCAACAUCUGGCCUUGUACAUAUCAUGGCAUACAUGGUGGAUCCGAUUGCCGAGGCAUACGGAAUCCUACUCAUCCUGCUUCGCUCAUCAGAUGUCGAAGGACUCUGAGUCUCUCUUAGCCUUAUACCAUGUGAGAGUGGCAAGAACCGUUUCUUCGCCUCACUCAUGUUGAACCGCUUCAACACUUUAUCUACGUAGGUGCUCUGGCUUAAGCCGAGCAGCCUCCUCGAUCUAUCUCUAUAGAUCUUAAUGCCUAAAAUGUACAUUGCCUCACCAAGGUCCUUCAUCGAAAACUUGCCAUUCAAUGACUCCUUGAUCAAGUUCAGCAUCGAAACAUCAUUCCGAUCAGUAGUAUGUCAUCCACAUACAAGAUAAAAAACACUAUCGAGCUCCCACUUAACUUCUUGUAUAAACAAGAGUCCUCUUCGCUUUUGAUGAAAACGAAACCAGUGACGACCUCAUCAAAACGAAUGUUCCAACUCCGAGAUGCUUGCCUCAACCCAUAAAUGGAUCUCUUGAGCUUGCAUACCUUACUAGUGCUAGUCGGAUCGACAAAACCCUCGGGCUGUAUCAUAUACACGUCCUCGGUUAAAUUUCUGUGAAGGAAAGCCGUCUUGACAUCCAUCUGCCAUAUCUCGUAAUCAAAAUAUGCAGCUAAUAGCUAGUACGAUCCUCACCGACUUCAGCAUCGCUACCGGCGAGUAAGUCUCGUUGUAGUCAAUUCCUUGAACUUGUCCAUAACCCUUAGCGACAAGCCGAGCUUUGUGGAUCUGAACAUUUCCAUCCACAUCGGUUUUCUUCUUAAAGACCAAUUUGCAACCAAUGGCUGUUACGCCAGGCGGCGGAUCAACCAAGUUCCAGACUUGAUUCUCAUCCAUGGACUUUAACUCAGAUCUCAUGGCCUCCAGCCAUGCCUCGGAAUCUGGGCUCACCAUCUCUUCUGCAUAUGUGGCCGGCUCGUCGCUUUCGAGCAACAGUACAUCGCGCACUCUGCACAAUCUUUCCGACCUCUGUGGUUCCGGUGCCGCUUCCACUACGGGUUCCUUGACUGACUCAGGUAUGAUUCUAUUUCCCGCCGAGCCGUCCCCGAGUGGUACUCGAAUUUCUUCAAGUCGGACCAUCCUCCUACUGGCCUCCCGACUGAGAAACUCUUUCUCAAGGAAAACCCCAUUCUGAGCAACAAACACUUUGUUCUCUUCCCGGUUGUAGAAGCUAUAUCCCAAGGUUUCCCUCGAAUAUCCCACGAAUAUGCAUUUAUCCGAUUUGGGUGUAAGCUUGUCUAACAUAAGUCGCUUGACAAAUGCUUCAUAGCCCCAAAUCUUUAGAAAAGAUAAACUGGGACUCUUCCCGGUCCACAUCUCAUGUGGUGUCUUGUCUACGGAUUUUGAUGGUACCCUGUUAAGUGUGAAAGCUGUAGUUUCUAGAGCGUAUCCCAAAAUGACAAGGGUAAAUCCGAUUUGCUCAUCAUUGACCGGUCCAUGUCCAACAAGGUACGAUUCCUCCGUUCCGACGCGCCGUUUAUCUGUGGCGUACCCGGAGGUGUGAGCUGAGGUACUAUACCUCGGCUUUUCAGAAGAUCAUCAAACUCUUGGCUCAUGUACUCACCUCCACGAUCUGAUCGUAGAAGUUUUAUAGUCUUGCCGAGCUGAUUCUCAACCUCGUUCUGAAACUCUUUGAACUUUUCAAAAGUUUCCGACUUGUGCCUCAUCAAAUAGAUACAUCCAUAUCUACUCAAGUCGUCGGUGAAAGUCACGAAGUACUGAUAGCCACCUCUGGCAGUUGUGCUCACUGGUCCACACACAUCACUGUGUAUCAGUUUCCAUAGCUCGGGCGCCCUCUCGCAAAUCUUUGUGAAAGGAGACUUAUUCAUCUUGCCGAGCAAGCAUGAUUCGCAUGUCUCAAAUGACCCAAAGUCGGAAGAAGUUAGGAGCCCAUCAUCAUGGAGCUUCUUCAUGCGUUUUAGACUAAUGUGUCCAAGCCGGCAAUGCCAGAAGUACGUCGAAUUUAUCUGAUUAGGCUUAUGCCUCUUGACAUCCACAUUAUAGACCGGUUCCUGUUCCAGAUUCAAUAUAAAUAGCCCAUCAACAAUGGGUGCUAGCCGUGGAACACAAUAUUCAAAUAAAAUGAACAACCAUUGUCCUUUAAAUUGAAUUCGUAACCCUGACUCAUCAAACAUGAGGCAGAAAUAAUGUUCCGACUAAGUGCAGGAAUGUAAUAACAAUUAUUCAAUUCCAAAAUAAAUCCAGAAGGAAGCUGGAGCUGCAUCGUGCCGACCUCCAACGCAGCAACUCUUGCUUUGUUGUCGACCCUGAUGUCAAUCUCCCCUUGUGCCACACGCCUAGUUCUUACCAGCCCCUGCAUCGAGUUGCAAAUAUGAACAACCGAUCAGGUAUCAAAUACCCCAGAGCUACUAGGUAUGUCAGCAAGGUAAAUGUCUAUAACAUAUGCAACAAGUGUACCUUUGCCUGAAGCAGCAUUCCCGACCUUCUUGCCAUGCUCUGCAAGCCACUUGCUACAGUUCCUCUUCCAAUGACCAGUUUCCUUGCAAUGAUAGCAAAUGGUCUUCGAGUCCGGUCUAGACUUCGGCGCAGCGGCGGAGGUUACCAUCUCCGUGCCCUUUGCCUUAGCCUUCUUCUUAGACCAACACUUCUUGAACUCUGCAUCAUCAACACUUGAUGCGUGCCUUUCUUAAUAUCCUACUCUGCCACUUUGAGCAUCCCAUGCAAUUCAGUGAGCUUCUUAUCCAUGCCAUGCAUAUGAUAUUUCGAGAUGACCGUCCCAUAGCUGGGUGGAAGAGAACCCAGAACUGCAUUAGUAGCUAGCUCAUCCAAGAGCGGCAAGCCCAACCGAUCCAAAGCUUGCACAUAUCCGAUCAUCUUGAUCACAUGUGGGCUCCGUGGAUCACCUUCCUUCAGCUUGCAAUCCAUCAAGGAUCGCCGGACGUUGAACCUUUUGGUCCUAGCCUGUGUCUGAAACAUGCUCUUGAGACUCGAGAUCAUAUCGUCAGCCUCAACAUUUUCGAAAUGCUGUUGCAAAUCGGGCUCCAUACAAGCCAGCAUCAGACAGCUGAUCUCCGUUGAUUCAUCAACGAGUUUCUGGUAGGCAUUCUUAGUUGUGGGACUAGCAUUAUCGGCAGGUUCCUCUGGAAGAGAAUCCUCUAGAACAUGUUCCUUUUUAUCAUGCUUGAGAACAAUUCUCAGAUUUCUAUACCAGGUGGUAAAGU